GAAAAGUCAACAUUGUCUGGUCACUCCAAAAUCUUAUAAAUGCAUUUAUAAUUUCAUGUUUGUUGCAAUGCAUUAUCUCUAGCCUUAGUCUUCAAUCAACUUGUAUAAAGGCAUCAAUCAACCCCUCUCUAUUUAUGUCACUAAUGAGAUCUUGACUUCUCAUGAUUUGUGAGAAUGAGGGAAGUCUGGAAAUUUCUUCUUUACGGUCAUAACUCAAUGCAAUCACAUUCAUUGUGUCAUUUUUUUUCUCAAUAUGGCAGGUACAAUUUCCUCAACUUAUGCAGAUGGAUCUUUCCCACAUGGACAAUUUAAGCAAAAUAUGGACUGACGGUCCUCUAGAAACUCUGACUUUUGAUUGUUUAUGGGAAGUGAAGGUUCUGAAUUGUAAGAGCCUUGAAAAUUUGUUUCCAUAUUGGGUGGCUACAAGUUUAACCAAACUUGGAAAACUUCAAGUGGAGUCUUGUGAGAUUGAGGAAAUAGUCGCUAGUGGGGAUGACACUCCACGCUCCAAUACUACUCAAGAUCUUUUCCCAAAACUAACCUCUCUGGUGUUACAUGACAUGCCACGACUCAAGAGCUUUUGUCCUAACUUGCCUUUGAAUUUGCCAUUAUUGAAGGAAUUACAAGUGACUCAUUGUGAAAAACUGAGCAUGUUAUCCUUUGUGGCAUCCAUGAACAGAUGGGCUCAAAGAGAUGAUCAACAAGACCUUUCAGAUCAAGAAGCACACUCUUCAUUUGAGAGGGUAUGAUUAUAGUUGCUCUCCCUUAGUUUCUACUUUGUUCUUUAAAGCAGUCACUAAUAUCAUAUCCAUUGCAUAUCAUGUCGCGUUAUGAUGUUAUAGAAAACAUGAUCUCCCCUACCUAUUAGUUUGUCGACAACAUUAAGAUAUUUCUAAUAUCUUACGUACACUUCCAUUUGUGGACAUGCAUAAGAUAUUCCAUUACCUAGAGUUACAAAAAAAAAUUUACAGUAUUCUAUUGAUAACAGAAUAUAUUCCUAAUCUAACCUAAUGGUGCUCUUGGGCAACAUCAAUAAGGAUUUGACAAGAGGCCCUCUCCAUUAUUGACACGUGUUGCACACUUGAACUUUUCUUCUCUAUUUCAUCUUCUACAAACUCUAAAAAAAUUAAUUCAAACAAUUUUUUUUUAUAACACAAAUAACAUUAGUACCUUAGUGCACUAUUUUCUACUGUAUAUUUUAAUACACUAGUCGUCGUGUUAUCCUGUUAUAAUACUAUAGAAAACUAGAAUCCCUUUCCUAUAAGUUUGCAGACAACAUAAGAUAUUUCUUAUAUCUUAAGCAUACUUCUGAAUUUGUGGACCCCGUAUGUUUUAGUGACAUCUUGAGUGCAUCCCAUUACAUAAGAUUCCAAAGAAGAUAAAUUUUUGUCAACAAGAUAAGAUAUUCCUUACAAAAGAUGAAUUUAGUGAGUGCAGGGAUCUUGAAUUUAGAUUCACUCUAUCCACUUGACCAGACCAACCUCUACAUGAGACUUUUAAAAGCUUGAGUCUUGAACACAAGGUUCUUGAGAUAUAAUGAACUUUAAGAAGAGGACCACCUUCCAUGCGAAUCAUCUUAAUAGGUUUACCUUUUACAGCACAUGAUUUAUUGUCGAAACUUUGUUGAAUUUACUUCUCUUGUUGUAUUGGCAAUUCGACAGGACUUUCCCAACUUGGAGAGACUUUUAUUAGUCAAUAACAAUAUUCAGAUGAUACAAGAUGGAAAUUUUCCGGAUGACAUGUUUAGCAAGCUAGAAGCACUAACACUAGCAUGCUUUCAUGAUAAAAAGGCCGCCUUUCCUUCCAUAUUCCUCCUAGAGAGAUUUCAGAAUUUACAAAGCCUUGAAGUCUUAUGUAGCUCCUUUGAAGAUUUAUUCCCGAACGAAGGGCUUGUUGAAGAAAGGAAACAUCCGGUGCUUGAAAAUUUAAGAGAACUUAAGUUGAACAAGCUACACAACUUAAAGUGUGUGUGGAGAGAAGACUCUUUAGUGUCGAAAAUUCUUCAGAGCAUCGAAACAUUUGAGGUUUGGGAUUGUCCCUGUUUGACAACAAUAUUUCCAACCGAGACAUCCUUCCAGAAUCUGAGAGAUUUAGUGGUGAAGAAUUCCUCUAGAUUGGUACAUCUAGUAACGAUUUCGGCAGUCACAAAUUUGGUACAUCUCAAUUUUAUGACUAUAAUAGGAUGUGAAAGAAUGAAAGAAGUAGUGACCGACGAUGGAAGCAGAGAAGGAAAAGUGAUUUCUUUUGAAAAGCUAAUAUGGUUGACACUUGAACAUCUGCCAAACUUAGAAUGCUUCUCUUCCAUCCCAAGUUGCAUAUUUAGGUUCCCAUCUUUAAGGAGAAUUAAAGUGGAAGAGUGCCCGAAAAUGAAGAUCUUUUCUAAGGGUACACUAAGCACACCAAAACUAAAUUCCGUGACACUAUUCAGAUACAAGUGGAAAGGGAAUUGGGAGAAGGGUGAUGAUCUCAAUACAACCAUACAGAAGUUAUCAGCAUAAAUCAAUGCACAUAGAAUUGGUAAGAUCCAAUAGAUGUCAUUCUCUCAUCCAUUUUUUUUUCUUUAGUCUUUCGGCAGCGCCGCAACUUUUUAAUAUUUUUUUUUUGUGACUUUUCUAUUAUUGAUUUCGUCAAAUCAACGUCACCGUCAACCCUAUCGAUGAUCUCGGCUCAUCCUUAACUGAACAGUAGGAAGCAAAGCGGGUCUCUCCUUCUCCUUCUUGACGCCAAAGGCUCUUUCUCCAUCUUUCUUCUUCUUCUUCCUCCUCCGUGGAGCGAAAUUGGGGGAAGCCUCUGCUGCCUUCACAACGGACGGAGCAAAAAUGAAGCAUCAGGAAUUGCCAGGACUGCGAGAAGCGAAGCUGCAAUUAGCGGAGCGGAGCCAAGUAGAUUCAACCAGACGCUGUCGUUGUCGCCGUCGUCACCGCCGGAGGUGGCACAACCGAGUCUGGACAGUUAGUCGUCCACUCACUUCAUCAAAGAAGAAGAAGAUCACACUCUCUCUCCGCAUCUGUAUCCGACAAAUGGUAAGUUCAUGUUUCUUCCGAUUUCGGUGUAUUAUUGUGCGUGAAUUAGGGCUCUCUUCUUCAAAUUCGUUCCACAUUCGAGUCUAAAAGCAGGAGUUCCUCAAACUAGCAAUUUAUUGCCCUUAAAUCUACAUCUUCUGUGCUGCCCUCCCGAGCAUUGGCGAGAUUUCUGCGUGUUUGACCUCUCAUAGAUGGAGAUGAUAUAUUGUGUUCAAGGUCUCAUGUUGAAAUUUCUUUAGGGAGAGAUAUCUCUGUAACAUCAUAUACAAAUUUCUAUCAGGAAAAAGGGAGAAAUCAUGGAACUUGAAAAUAUUCCGAGAAUUCCAUGCCUUGUCAAAAAUCUGAAAUGUCACUUUUGCGCCUUGAUCGCAAUAUAGUUUGGAUUGUCUGAAGAAUCACCUGUAAUCUUGAUUGGUUAAGUGAUGCUGGAAGGAUAAAUUUAUCUCCAAUUUAUACUAAAAUCUUUUCAUAGCAAGUCAAAUUAAUGAAGUGUACUUAAACUGUCUCUAAAGUUAUCGUUUAAGUACAGGCUGGUCCAAACAUUUGAGCAAAUUGAGGCAUCCUGAGCUGAUUUUUUAAGGUCCCAUGCCCCCAAGGCCUCUCACUUCUUACAUCGGCCAACAAAUUUCAAAUGGAGCAUCCCAAUGGAGCAUCCCUUUUUCAAAGGUGGUGAGGAGGCCCUCUUAUGUUGACUUUGGCUUGGUAUGAUCCCACGCUCAUUGACCCAAACUCGCAUGUCUGAAAAUCAAACAUAUGGAUGCUGUUUAUAUCUUUGCUUAUACUCUAGUGUAUUUCCAAGUUGACUUAAUGCAGUAAACAACAUGACAUGUUAUAUUCCUUGAAUUGUUCAUGGGUAUAUGUUUGAAACCAGGUAUAUGUCUUAACAAUGGAGUAAUUGAAGCAGGGGAAACAAUGAAAGGACGGUUAGUGGGACUUAAACUGGUGGUUGAGGUUUGAAAGAAUAACAUUUGUCCCCUUUUUGUCAAUACACGUGUUGGAAAGCAAUUGCUGAGGCAAGUCCAAAGAAUUAGAAUCCAAUUCCUCUUAUAUGGAGGAACUUGACAAUGUUAUUCAAUGCUGUAAAAGUAGAAUAUAUAUGUAAAUCACACGAGGAGACUAGUUGAUACGGACAAGCAAAUUGCAAAGAAUGUCACUAUCUCCAUAACUAGAGGGAAAGACCUGAAAGAUAAGGGGGUGGCUAGUUAUGGUUCUGAAAUUUCAUUGUAGAUCUAAUGACUGAUAAUUUUGUUUCCAAAUAGGGGAUACUAUUUUAUUUUGUUACAUUAAUCGGAAAUUUGAGAAAAAAAGAUGAGUUUACUCUGUCAAAUUGAUUCAGUAUUUUGAUAAAAUUUGAGUUGCGCUUGAAAUAAUUGAACAGCUUAGAUUAAAAUUUUUCACUUCCAUCCGUGUUCCGGUCAUUGAUGUCUUUGCCUUUUCCCCUGCUCUUGUGGUUUGUGUGGCUUAAAUUCAUCGUUUCAAAUAUAUACGGGACAUGGAAGGCUUUUUCUGGUCAUGUACCCUAUUGCACCUAGGAGCGUAUAUUUUGUCAUUUGACUUUGGGUUGCAGUCUGAGAUUGUCUACUAUCACUAUAAGGUUUAUUGUCAAUUAAAACUCCUAAAAGUAGCAACUACUGCCUUAUAUUCACGCUGUGUGAUUAGAUUCUCUCAUUAGUGUAUGCUUAUGUUUUGGUCUUUCUUCACCAGAAGUUGGUUUUCAACCACAUAAAUGAGGAGACUACUCCUGUUCAAUUCAUCAGGCAACAUAAUCAGGAAAACAAGGUAAUUGCAACUCUCAGGUAUUCAGACAGGUCGUGGACGGUGAAGCUCAGGAGCCGUGGACUUUUUUUUUCGCUGCUUGACACCCAAUUGCUAGAGAAGCUCGUUUGCAUUUAAGAGAUGUUUGUGUGUUUGAGCUCAUUGAUAGGGGGGAUGUGUGUUUAGAGUCUACAUUUCCACUAGUACUGGUAAGGACUUGGUUUACGUUGACAGAAAUGAAUUUUGGAAGUGUCACUUUAGAUAGUCCAAAAUAAAUUCAGUAUUCAUAGUUAUAUCUCUUUGUUUAGUCUUGGUGAAUCAAUGAAGUGUACGUCUUCCAUUCCCAUUGGGUUUGUGAGUUUCACAAUAAUCCAGAUGCACACUCAUUAAUGCUACAUCCCAAGUCUAAAUUAACCAAAAAGAAUGUGCUUCAAUGUCAAAGCGAAAAUUAUAACCUAAACGCUUAGCAUGAGAAUUUAGAGGUGUGACUUGUUGGUUUCUAAGUUGCGCUUUUCUGCACAGUGUUGCAUUCUUUUUCUUGGUCUGUCUCAAAAGUUAUGAAAUUUUCCUGAUAAGAUUUUGUAUAUUGAUGGGUGACAUUACAAUUUAGGAGAUGCCAAGUGUAGCUAAUGUGUUUUGUCUAACGUGAAAAACAUGUAAACGUUAGUAACAUGAUUGGAUGCAUUGAUUUGUAGAUCGUUGUAACUUGACAGAAGAUUUACAGCAGUACCUAUGAAAACUCUCCUUUUUCUUUUGGACCAAACAAUCUAAAUGUCAAGUGAGCCCCCAUGAGCAGUUUUGCAUGGUUCCAUGUUUCUGUGGCCUCCCCUGCUCUUGAAAAAACUAGAAAAUUUGAAUCGAAGUAUCCAUCUCUGAAAUUGGUGAUGCGGCCACUAUUAUCAAGGAUAGAACUGUGGUGUGGCCCCUAUGUCCUUUCAUAAUUGGCAUAGCUCAACCAUGAUGCCUUCUACAUCUUUCCCUUUAGUUGACUCUUUUCCCAAGUCGUUUUAAAUUUUUCAUAGGAAUCACAUUAGAUGUUAUUUUCUUUGGAGUGUUCAUGGCUUUAUCUGUAAAACCGGGGCAGUUUUGAUUUUGAAAUUUUAUUUUUUAAAUUUAUGGAUUCAUAAGAUGACCAAUUCUAAAAUGAAAGAUUCUAUUCUCGUUUUUUUUUUCCAGUAAUCAGUUGUAAAGAAGAUUACAUUAUAUAUAGACUAAGAGGAUGUGGUGGGGACGAUCAGUGUUAGCAACUCUUGAACUUUUGUCAUGAGAGUUAAAAAAUUAUGUACACUACUGUAGAGUCUACAAGCACUGUAUUGUGAAAUCUUAACUUCAAGUUGCAGGUUGGGAUUGAAGACUUCUAUUACCCAGUUAACACUAUUAAUUGAACUCCCUGAAACUAGUAAAUACUAGCAUAAAUUUACAUUUGUUUGCGUUUUCCAUUUAUUAUUUCUUUGUAUUUAUUCUUUUCCUCAUUAUACUACAUUGGUAGUGUUCCUUGUGAAUUCAUAAAGAAACAUUCAGAAGAACUAGCAAAUUGCAACUCUUAGGUAUUUGAACAAAUUAUGGCUGGUGCAGCUCGAGACCUAUCAACUCCAUUAUGUAGCUGGUCGGGCCGCAUUUGUGAAAGAAGCUUGUCUGGAUGAAGGGGAUGUCCGCAUGUUUGAGCUCAUUGAUAGGGACGAUUUUAUGGUCAAUCUCCAUCUCCAAUUAUGCUAGUAAGGACCUCAUUUAGGUUGAUUGAGAUGGACAUUGGAAGUGUCGCCUGCAAGCUAUGACAAAUCAAUUGGAAGUGCACUUACUUUUAGCUUUGCGUCUCUUUCUUGACCUGCUUACAGUCUUACCAGAAUUCUCCUCUUUUUUUUUUCUUUGUGCAGGUCAGAACAGAUAGUCUAAAUGUCCAGUGAGCCCUCUUGAGCAGCCUUUUCAUGGUUUCAAUUGUCCGAGGCCUCUCACUGCCCUUUAGAAUGCUGGAGAAUUCAAGUUAGAGUAUCCCUUUUUCCAGAUGGUGACAUGGCCAUCUUUUCUUAAGAAAGAAAUAAUGGUGAGGCCCAGAUCUCCAUUCAUAACUGGCAUAUCUCAAUUAUGAAUGCCACCUAUUUUAUAUAUGUGCCCUAUUGUGCAAUUUUUUCCUGCAUUAAUUUGCUUUCUAUAGAAACACAGGAUAUAUUAUCUUCCUUGAAGUGGUCAUGGUUAUAUGUUUAAAACAGGCUCCUUAACAACUAAAGGGACUAGGGAAAAACAAUAAGUCAGACAGUAAUCAGGAAAUUACCUAGUGAUAGGUGGGUGUGGAGACAAGGUCAGAGGGUUGAGACAGGCAAUAACAACCAUAAAUUAGGAAUUUAAUGAUUUCUAAUUGAAGUAUAAAUUCUUCCCAAAGAUUACUACUUGGCACUUUCUCUGUCUUCUAGUUUAAGUAUAAAUUCCUUCCAAAAAUGACUACUUGGUACUUUCUUUGGCUGCCUAGGCUUGGGAAGAAGAGGCGACACGAAAUGUCCAGCUUAAGCAAUAGCUAUUGCAACAGGCCUAGGCUUGGCAUGACUAGGCUCACUGCAACAGCACGGCAACACUAAUCGGGAUAUUGCUUCCUGGCAACAAAUGGUUUACAAGAGCUACUAUUGCAAGCAAGUUCAAACUUGCGAUCAGAAAUGAAGUGAAGGUAGUGUGACCCUAGACCUCGAAAAUGAGUCCCACCACCUCCGUAGUAUGAAAAAAAGAAAGGCAGCUAAUUUUUUUUUUUGCCAGGCGAAUGAAGAUCACUUUUUGUGUAUAUGUAUCCAUCUAGGAUGCUAGGCGUAGCUUUUCAUGUUUGUUCAAUGCGUAUCGCAAUGUGAGAUUGGUGACUUGGAAAUCCACCAGAUUUGUGCAUGUCUCUAUAUUGAUCACACAUACUUAGCGUAGAGUCUAAGAGCACAGGAUUGUGAUAUUUUGAUUUCAGAUUGCAAGUUGUGACUAAAGACCAUCUCAUCAAGCCUUUUAGACUGCUAAUACGGAUCUCCAGAAAUUCCAAAUACUAUCAUAAAUGUACAUCUUGUUUGCCUUUUCACUUUAGUGUAUGCUUACAUUUCUUUGUCUUAUCAUACAUUGGCUGGUCAAAUGUCUUCAUGGGCAGAGCGUUCCUUAUAAAUUUAUAGAGACAUGCAGUCAAGAAAACCAGCAAAUUGCUAUUCUUAGGUAUUCAGACACAUUGUGGCUGGUGACCAUCAGGAGCUAUCAGCGCUACGCUGCAGUGAACUUCUCUAUUGGUUGGUCCAAGUUUGUGAGAGAAACUUAGUCUUGAAUGAAGGGCAUAUCUGCAUGUUUGAGCUCCUUGAUAGGGAUGAUUUUUAGGUUGAAUUGGGACGUGAACACUGGAAGUGUCACUUUAGGCCAUAUACUAGUUAGAAGCGAUCUAUGCCUCUUUUCUGUUGUGAUGAACCGGAUAAAAGUCCCUUUUAUUUCUGACUGCUUUUUUCUGAACUAGUUACAAUCUUAUAAUUUCUAGGCCUAGCCACUCCAUUUAUCGGAUAUUGUGAUGAAUAGCCUUGCACACAUUUUUUACUUUGGGUAUUUCUCUUGCGCUUGUAACGCUUUUAUCAUUGCCUUCUUGGAAAGGACCUUAGUUCAGCAUUAUCGUGGUUCUGGUUAUUCGACCUGGUUUCGUAGAACAAAUGAAAUUUAUGCAGUAUGCCAUCAGUCAUGGUCGCUUGAUAGUUUUCAAAAAUGGGAGAGAUAGACUCUAUACUCAUGUAAUUAUAUUUGAUUAAAGUGCUUAUAUAGAUACAUUAUCCCCUCAAGCAGGAUGAAAUAUAAAACCCAGAGGGCGAAUUCCUCUCGAGAAAAUGGGAAGAAUCUAAAGACCUCACAGUCCUUGAAGAUUCAGAGGGUUCCUGGCCAUGUUGGAAGCCAUUGGCUAAACUGCAUUUACCUUCUUAUCUGCCUUCUACGGUGAUGAAUUCGUUUUCAAUUUGUGAGUUUCAAAGUGAUUAAAUUGCACACUCAUUCUUUACCAAAAAAAAAAAAAAAUUGCACACUCAUUGAUGCGAGUUUUCAAAAUAAUAUGCUUGGAACCAAAAAGGACUAAGUUUCGAACGUCAAAGAGUGACAGAAGUUCCAAAUUGUUCCUCAAGAUUUGGAGGAGCGAGCACACGACAUAGUUUUCUUAGUCACUCUUCAAAUUUUUAAAAAUUUGAUGAGAAGCUUUUGGUAUGUUAGUUGAUGGCAUUGAUUUGGGUGUUCGAAGUUGUAGUCAAUCAGUUUUAUCUAAUACGAAGAGCGUGCAAACUUCUGUUUUAUGUUCACAUUCGUUGAUUUCCAAACUAUGCUGGAUCUUUUCAUAGUAAAUCGAAAAAAUUCACAUAUGUGCCCAUGAGAGUUCUUUUUUUAACCGGAGGUCAGACCAAACAGCCUAAAUGCCCAGUGAACCCUGUUGAGCCGGUUUUUCAGUGUUUUACUUGUCCAAGGCCUCUCACUGCACUUGAAAAAGCUUAGAGAAUUUGAGUCAGAAUAUCCCUUUUUCAAAAUGGUGAUAUGGCAAUUUCUUGUCAUGAAAGGAAAAGAACUGUACAUUCCUCAUCUCCAUUCAUCAUUGGCAUACUUCAAAUAUGAGACAACGUGACAUGUUAUUUUCGUUGAAGUGUUUGGGGCCAACCGACCAUCCUAAUGGCCGAGUAAUGGAACUUGGUAAAAUGGCAAUCAAAAUGGUAAUUGUGAUACAACCUUCAUGGUUGUGUGUGUCGAUUCAGAUUAUUAACUAGUUCGUCUACCUUGAAACAAUCUACUUCUCUAGUUGCUCCAUCAAGUUGUCUUUUGCUCCCUUUUUACAAGUGGAAAUCAAGAUGUGGAUUUUUUUAAAUAAUAUUUCAAUAUUUUUUGAAUUUUUUUUAUAAUUUUGUUAUUUUCUUUUCUUCUUUUUUUCUUGCCCUUAGGGUCGGCCUGGAUGUAGGCGCGCAGCACCUCACCCAGACCAAGUGAGGGCUGGUGAGGGUGUGCAAGGAAAAAAAAGCAACUAAAAGAACCAAAAGAAAAAGAAGAUAAAAAAUUCAAAAAAAUUAAAAUAUUAUAAAAUGUCCACAUCACUUUCAGCAGUGUCAUGUCAGCGCCAGCUGAUCAAUAUUAGUAGAAUGGACUUAACUGGCACAAAUGCGAAAAGUUUAGAAUUGUAUUGACAAAAAAAAGAAAGAUUCAAUUAGCACAAUUAUAAUAAGUUUAUGAGUUUUUUGAUAAUUCUCCCGACAUUGUUUUCUUAUUAGUGAAUUUUUUCUCGCAAUUCAAGGUACAAAACGGCAUUGUUCUUCAGAAAAGCUUGAAAACGUAUAUAUAUUAAAAUAAUUUUGUGAGAACGAAAUAUCUUUUUUAUCAAGGAAUAGAAAAGGAAAAGGAAAGAAAAGCAAACAAGAAAAUAAAAAUAAGAAAAAUUACUCUUUGCCAUGCCAACCCUAACCUAAAGGUAACAAACUGUCAACACGAUACAACUUUUAUUUAUAUCACAAGAUUUUAUAUGCUCUUCGUCCAUUUAUUACUUGUCAACUUUUCCGGACUUGAUACAUCAUGACCCUUUUCCUCUUUCUUUCUUGAUUCAACAAUAGGGGAAGAAAAAAACACAUUGGACCCUUUUCUGCAAAGAUGGACUCGCGGUCUUGUCCAAAUAUGAACUAAUCGAUUAAUUGCUCAUUGAAUUCAUGUUGCUCGCAUCUAAUUCUAUAGUCAAAAAACUGAAGCUAUGCUUCGGCAUUGAGCGUGCACAACUCUUUAAUUUGACCACAAGCGAAAUCCAUGCAAGUAGUACGGUCCGACUACCCCAGCACGGUAGCACACUUUCCACGGCCGAAGCAUCUGGCGUUGCUGUAAGAGGCACUGGUGCAUUAGUUGAAUCCCCCGAUCGCGGUGUCAAACCUAAGAUCGGUCAAGACUUGACCCGAAGCUUGUGCAUAAUCGUUCGGGUAUUGCAUGCCGUUGCAUAUCUUGCAUAACUUGUACAUAAGCAUCACAUCCAGGUCACUUCUUACAAGUCAGACCCCCACAGAAGCCCCAUGAACAUAAGUGUGAGUGUAAUGAGGUGGACAAGGUCAUCCUAGAGCCCGUUUCCUCCCGUUUGGUUCUCUUUGGUUUGCCACGAGGAAACACACAACACACAAUUGAGUUUGGCUAUAAAAAGGGUUUGUCUCCAUAGUGCUAUCCAUCAUUUAUUCUUUGUUAUUAGGCUAAGCCAUUACCAAGUUUAGUCAUUUAUGACGUCACAUGGAUUUUAAUUGAUAAAUUUCAGAGCUUUUUCUAUGAAUUAUUUGUUCUUUAGUGUAAUAUGUCGUUGCCGUCCUUGCAAACCCUAAUCUCAUAAUUUUUAAUGAAAUUUCCCCCCUCUCUCUUACUAUGCAUGAAAAAUUUAAAAUUGGGAUCCUUUUAAGUCUACGAAAUAAAUUCACAUUAUGAUAAAUGACUCACUUCUUCUUUGUCUGUCCUCUUUCUCCUCUUAUUUUGCAUAGACUUGUCAGCCUCAUGUACUAGUCUUGAAUAUAUUUCUAUAUGUGACAUUGUAAAUUUUAGGUCAUGUAAUUAAUGGAGUUCAUGAAUUUUUUUUUUUUUGAACAGAGAGUUCAUGAUAGUUAUAUAACCCAAAUAACACAAUACUUCUACUACUGCUAAUACUACUACUAGGAGUGUAUUAAAAAAAGAAAAAAGAAAAAAAAAGUCCGAAAACCCGGAUCGAAUCAUCCAAAUUGGCCUGAUAAAUUUGGGCUCAAAUAGUCUUGGGCCGGCCCACUGGCCUCAAACUAUCCUUGAGUUUGGGACUUGAAUGAUUGCCAAACUAGCCCAAUUCAUAGAUCAGAAACUGUACAUAUAUAUGGCCCCUAUGUCAAUUCCCAUUCCUGCUGGUUGAGUGCUUGACUUCUCUCGUUCUCCCAUCUCCCACGCUGGUUGAGAUCCGGUCACUGUUGAGCUGCCAUUGCCACCACCGUCAAGCCCCAUUUUUGUGGCCAUCAAUCCCCACACUCACCAUAUGCCCUCCGUCCAAGACAUCUCGCUCACUCCGUCAGUCCCUCUUCUGCUUGCUCACGUCUUAGUCUUCCUUACGCUCCCUCACUCUCUACCAGUAGAAAACAAGUACUUACCAGUUACUAGCUUGUUUUGAUGUCUUAAGGUUUUUUUUUUUUUUAAUUUUCGUACAUGCUAUUUGAAUUUUUUAUUUUAAAUUUUAAAAUGAUAGUUAGUCUCUCUUUAAAAAGAUGCAAUUAUCUCACGAUAAACUCUAAACUGGUACACAUGUGAUAAAUUUACAUUCUAUUAAAUUUUAUUAUCAAAUUAUUAAGUUAGAUGACACAUGCUAAUUGAUGGAGAUACCAAUUUGGGGUUUUCUCCUCCAUUUGUUACAAUCGUACUAGUUUGUGAUUUUUUGUAGUAUUAAUCCAUUUUAACGAAAACCAACAAAUAUUAAAUUAUCACAAAUGUAUCAGUUUAUGAUUUUUAAUAGUCAAAAUAUUAAUUUGCGGUAAAUGUGUGAUGUACCAAUUUGGGGUUUUGGUUAGUCAAAAAAUUAACUUGAGAUAAAUUUAUCGCGUGUAUACCAAUUUUAGAUUUUUUGUGACAUUAAUUCUUUAUUAUUAUUUUUUUGUUUAACAGUUUAUUAGUUACAUUUAGAUAGUAGAUGGUAGUGGAAAGUGGCCGUUAAUGACGAUUGGCACUUUUUAAGUGCUAAAUGACGAAAAUCGCCUCUGAAUUCGUCUAAAAUCUAACCCGAGCUAUCAUCAUAAUUUGGUUUUUAAGGCAAUCUAGAUCGAGAUAUCAAAAGAGGAACCUCUCCCUUAAAGAAUCUACAAACGUGGUAAUGCUAUUUUAUAAACCAUAUUCUCUAAUAUCUUUAUGUUCAAAUGAAAAUUUACGUAGAAUAAUAAUCGAGUUGGGAGAAUCAUUACCUACACCCAGUGCAAACUCUAUUCCUCUCACAGCAAGCAUGUAUGAAGGCCUAAUAAGAGUGAAAGUCAAAUUAUUCGUAAGUUGUUCGAGCUUGGGUUGAUGAUCAUUUGAGAAGUAAUAUUUAGUCGAGCUCUAACUCGAGCUACUUGAGUAUCUUGCAGAUUGAAAGCUCGAGCUCAUCAACACUCAGCUCAAUAAACUUUGUAAGCCUGAUUAAAAAAAGCAAUUGUUAAUAAAAUUAAAUAUUAACAUCCUCAUCUGCGCACAUGUAAUAUAUAGUAUAUCAUCUUUUUGUUUGAAUCAAGCUCCAGCAUUAAACUAAUGUUUGGGUGAGCUCAAAUCUUGUUUUAAACAUCGAGUAUGAAGUUGAGUGGAUCUCGAGUUUGGCAUUGUAGUGGCUCGGGUGGCUCAAUCAGAGAUCCCUAGGCCCCAGCCGUGUUGACAUCCAAUUCGAUUAAUAAGAGUCUAUGUGUCCAUUGAAGCAAUUAAGAAUUCUGACGUGCAAAAUUAUCAAGAAAUCUCAUUGCUCAAGAUUGGGUUGUGAUCUUCGUCACGCAAGUUUUAAAUCCCCUAUAAUUUUCAAUCCCUAUAUUAACCAAUAGCUUAGAUGAUAAAAGUAAGUGAACAUUAAUAAAUGUAGGAAAUCUUCAAAAGUCACCUUUCCUAGGUCCUAGCUGUAAUCUCGUGGGGGACGUAGCUUGGCUUAAAAAAUCCUUGCUGCAACUUUUCUCCGACAAAAUGGCACUCCAGUUCUCUCUCCUCAGUUCUAUGUAUUUGUUUGUUUACUGAAAAGAGGGCUUUUGCGGCAAUUUUUGUCUCAAUAUAAUUUAAUUUCGGAUAACCAUUUGACAAUUGAAAAAAUCCCUCGGCCGAUAAGAAAUCUUUAAUUUCAAAUGUCCGCCUUUGCGUUUUUCAUAUAUUAACUUGGAGUGUACAUAGAGAGAUCCUUGAUAAUUUCAACUUUUUGAAUUAAUUGGUAAAUCACUAAGCUCCGUCAUGCUAGUCUCUCUCAACAAGUACUUCUUAUUAUUAAAAAAAAAAAGAUCCAUUUUUAUUUCUCACAACUUCAAAUCUUAAAAAAUAAUUUUUUUAAUUUUCCUAGGUCUUUAAUUGAAAAAUUAACCCAAUUUCAUUCCGAUUAUCAUUAUAUAUCAUCAACAUAAACUAAACAAUCACGAUAAAUGAAUGUCCUCUCCUUGAAGUAAAUAGGGAAUAAUUAAAAAAAUCAACAAUUGUUAACAUCUGAGAAAUUAAAAAGGGAAGAAGAUCCGUCAGGUUUUCCAGUUCCUGCGUUUCUAGCAUUCGGUCACUCUCUGCUUCCUCUCUCUCUCUCUCUCUCUCUCUCCCUCCAACCCUCGAGCCGAGCUGCACCGCCUGAUAGGGGGCCUUCGACCGCUGCCGCCGCAUCUACGCCGCCGGGCCACCUCGGCGUUCGGCAGCAGCGCCGCCCCUCUCUCCGCCUCCUCCGAACACCCCCCCGCCCAAAAAAAAAAAAAAAAAAACCUAGUUUCCUGGCUUCGGUUCUCCGAGAUUGCUCGAAGAUGGACGAGGACCAGGAGAUGGAGAGGUUUGGGAUGGACAGCGAUUACGACGAUGGGCAGUGGAUCGACGGGGAGUUCUACUACCGGCGGCGGAGGGAGAAGCGCGCCCAGACCAAGGGCGACGUGCUCUACGGCGUCUUCACGUCGGGGGACUCCGAUUCGGACUACGACGACUCCUCUAAGAGGAAGCGGAGGAAGAACAGGGACCUCCUAUGUAAGGCCGAUCUGUCGAAGCCCGUGUAUUUCGUGUCCACCAGCACGAUCAUGCCGAACAGAGAGAUUGACGAGAACUCGAAGACAGAGAAUGAGGAUGACGAGUCCGCUGACGUGGAUGAGGAUAGGCCGGGCAUGGGGGUUGGUGCUGGGGUGGGUCUGGGGUUUAAGAAGCGAGACGAUGGUUUCGAUGAGAACGGCGAGGAGGAGGAUGGUUUCUUGCCGACGGCAUUUGGGCGGAAGAUCAAGGAGGGAGCGGAGAGGAGGAGAGAGCAAUCGAAAUUGGAGAAUAAAGCGCAACAAGGUGGGGCUAAGAGGGAUUCUUAUGAAUCGGGGAACGUGGGCGGCUUCGAGAAGUACACCAAGGGAAUUGGAACGAGGUUGCUCGAGAAAAUGGGUUACAAAGGGGGUGGUCUUGGGAAGAACCAGCAGGGGAUUGUGACACCCAUUGAAGCAAAGUUGCGUCCUAAGAACAUAGGUAUGGAUUUCAACGACUUACAAGGCAACUCCUGCAGAGGCACCUGUUGCCUCGUUGGAGCCAGAGGAAAAGAAGCCAUCACCUAAUGUGCCCGGUCAGGAGAAGCUUUGGUCUAAGCAAGCGACGCAGAAAAACAAAGCGAAAUAUAUUACAGUAGAAGAGCUGUUGGCGAAGAAGUAGGAUCAGGGCGUUGAAGUUGUGCAAAAGGUACUCGACAUGCGUGGACCUCAGGUUAGGGUAUUAGCAAACUUGGAGAAUCUGAAUGCGGAAGAGAAGGCGAGGGAGAGUGAUGUUCCUAUGUCUGAGCUCCAGCACAAUAUAAGGUUGACUCUGGACCUGGCUGAGUUGGAUAUUCAGAAGAUCGAUAGGGACCUUAGGAAUGAGAAGGAGAAGGAGAAGUUGCAAGCUGAGGCAAAACUCUAGAAGAAACAACUGAUUAACGUGAAGGAGACAAUGAAUACGCUAGGCCGGGUUGAGGAGGAAAAGUCAAUGGGACGUGCGAAGAAGGCUUCCUGAUGAUUAUAAACUUCGUAACUUAUCCUGCAUUGCUUGCUUAUUUGCACUCCCUCUUUGGAAUUCCACACAUGGGUUGGAAGUUGUUUCACGGUGGAAAUCUCUAUUGCAAGGACAGGAAUGUCUUGAUAUAUGGGAUUUGGGAUCCCCUUAUACCUAGUUAGUUUCAGAAGUUGUCUUGCCUGCUGUGUGAAUAUCAGGCAUUUGAAACUUGGGAGGCAAGGAAUCCGGAGCCAAUGCUUCGAUUUUUUGAAGAUUUAGUGAUUAGUCUUCUCGCAUGUGGGCGCAAAUUCAAGUUUGUCAAUUUCUUCUCAAGUGAAGGGCAUUUGGAAUUCAUUUAUUUAUUUAUUUUCUUCAUAUUAACUGAAUGUUGAUAUGCAUAACAAAAGCAAGUAUACGGGCAUCUUUGCGUCGCUGCGGCACGACUCUUCUUCAGCCUCUCUCUGUCGACAAACACAGCACCUGAGCCUCCGGCAGUGGCUUUUCGUCUUAGAAUCGGCAACAUCCCGGCGCUCUUGAACUCGAACUUGCUCUCCACGCUGGAUGAAGCUCGCUAAUUCUCUCUUUUUAUCUCUCUUCCUUGCGAGAGCUCGAUACCUCAUCCAAAGUGCAAUCAACGGUAAUGGAAAUUUGGAAGAUGGCGAGAGGAUGGGAGAAAAUAAAAGCAAAACGGAAAUCAAACAGACGAAAUUUGGAAUGAAUUGAAGACAAUUCUAGAGUUCAAUCGGAGAUGGAACGUCCCAGUAAUUGUUUUGACUGUUGAUUGAAGAAACUCCGUGGUCAAAUUCCGCUGCCACGGCAGCAAGGCGAGCGGCAUCUUCAAACCGGUAGCAACGCUUUUUGUGCUUCGAUCGGUGCUGGAAGCAACAAUCGUCAGAGAGCUCAGUCUUGAUGAAUAGUUGGUGGGUACUCCAUUCGCGGUUGGAUUCUCUCUCUCCAGAUUUUCUCCGACCAGAUGUUUUUUAGCAUCUAUUCUCUCUCUCGCUCCGGAUUCUCCUUAUUCAUCUCCACCAAUUCAGAUCUAUCUCGCGUCAGAUUCCCACAGUGAACGACACCAUCAGAUUCCAAAUUUUGAGUCGUGGCCACACUAAUUCCACUCUGAUUCUUGUCGUCGCUUUCCUGUCCUUGCACAUGUCUGGACCAGAUCUAUAUGUGGCCGGGCCAUCUCGAGCUCAUGCUGCCAUCGCCGCCAAACCAUCAUCAAGGGUGUUUCAUAUCCAAUUGAACUUCCGAGUCAAAAUUUCGAUUCACUCCAGAAAAUGUUCUGUCGAUUCUUGCUUCUUUCUGUUCGCUCCCACUUCAUGGCCAUCUUUCGAAUUCCUUUGUUUUGCCCAUUUAUGCCUUGCGCAAAGGGAAAGCGGGGUGUGUUCACUGCUUAAAAGAGCUUUAUCUGAUUGCCAAGGGUGAGGUUGGAUGGAUCAUCAUCAUCUGGACAGGAUCCGCCGAUUCAAAGGAUGAGAUUCUUUGGGUUCACUCUCGGCACUCCUGCCGGUCCGACAUAGUUUCAUCAACCAACCGCAACGGAGGGCAAUCUGAGUCAUCAAAAUCAUCCGAAAAGAUACGCCAAGCAUGAAGAUUGGCGGUGGUGAGCACGGAGAGAAAACAAGGAAGAAUAAAAGUCGCGAAGCAGUGGAUGGAGAUGAUUCGAAUUUUGCGUGGGGACUGGGGAAAACGGGGCAAACAAGGUGAAACCGGCGGUGGUUCUUUGGAUGAGAAGGAAGUAAAGUGUUGAAAUUUUUUUUAAAAAAAGAAAUAAAAGAAAAAGAAAUAAAAGACGAAAGGAAAAUAUAGAGAGCCCAUGAGAAAUCGGUCAAAAGGAAGACUUGCACGAAAAAUGUAAUCCGUCAUUAUAUUGAGCACCUUCAUUGCAAACUCGAUCCCUCCUCCACAGUGCAAUCGACGGCAAUGGGAAUUCGGCGAGAUAAUUGGAGAAAAAUGAAAUGAAAUAGAUAUCAAUAGACGUAGUCAAUAUGUAUCAAAAUUAAUUCUAGAGUCGAAUGGGAUAUGAAAUGACCUGGUGGUGAGUACCAAUAUUGACCUGACAGAUAUCAUCAUUGUUACAGAAUGGUCUCAAUCUCGAUUUCUCUUUGGGGCAACUCAACGAACACCUUCCCUAAUGUCCAUCUUCAUUUUUCAGCAAGUCUUCCUCCAUCAGGGUCGUUUCCUAUCCGAAUGAACUUCCGAGUCCAAUUUCGAUUCAUUCCAGUAUACGUUCUAUCGAUUCUUGCUUUCCUUCAUCUCCGCCUUUCGGAUUUCAAAUGCCGUUGCUCGCGUCCUUCGUUUCGUCUCUCUAUGCCGCACACAAUGGGGAUGUCUGGCUGGUGGAUAGGAUCUGCCGAUUCGAAGGAUGAGAUUCUUUGGGUUCACUCUCGGCCCUCCCGCCGCUUCAAGAAGCAGCAAGGACUUGCACAAAAGAUGGAAUAUCUUGAGAGCAAGAUUCAUCCCUAACUCAACCAUCAUUUUCUUUUUCUUUUCCUUGAAAAAGGCCAUCAAAAACUCCAAACGACGCCAUCAAGGACGCCCAUUGCGUCUCUUCGCUUCAAGUGCCUUUAUUGGAUCUCUCCCUCCAUCCCGACGCGCUCCCCGGCUCAGUGAGUUCCGAGUCGCUCCACCAUCACCCUCGCUAUCAACUCGCCUCGUGAUCGAUUCCGUCGCUCGCUGUCUUUAGAAACUCCGGUGAUCCUCUCUCUCUCUCUCUCUCUCUCUCUCUCUCUCUCUUUUCCUGUCCUUCUUCCGGUUCGAAUCAUGCAUUCGUUUUGUGGAUUCUUAGGUGUUUUGACGGAGGUUUGAAUCUGGUGUCCUUGAGUGAUGUUUAAUGCUAUUGUCGUUUUGCUCAUCGAUGGAGUUCAUGUCGGAUUUUUUUUCUUUUUUCCUUGUUUCGAACCGUGAAUCCGAGACCACUUGGAAACGAGCGAUGAUUGAACUGAAAACGUCCUGAGAAAUCGCCGCAGUGAGCGAAAGUUGUGCAGAGUUAAGCUCGGUCGAACAGUGGUUCGGUUUUCCUCUAUUUUUUGGCAUUAUAUAGUCACUUCUGGAUUCAGUUGUGGUGCGAGGGUGACUCGCUAGCCAUUCCUGAUCGGUCCUUCGGUUAACGCUUUUCUCUGUAUAGAUUUCUGAGCGGCUUGGGACUUGGAGAUGGGAGUAGCACCGAUGAGUUAUAACAUAAAAGAGGGGACGCUGGAGAUCGGCAUGGGUGAGCUUUCGGCCCUCUCCGCUUUCCAAAUUUUUUUUUUUUUUUUUUUGGAGCUACGGACAAUAAAGAUCUGCUGGGAUGCUUAAAUCUCGUAAUUAAGUUUUGUCUGUAUUGUGGGGAGUAGCUUUCUCUCCUUGUUCGUGGCUUAUUAUGUCUUUCGCCAUCUAAAUUUCACCGUGCUUGGAAUCAGAACUUUAGUCAUGGGAUAUUGUUGUUUUCGAGGCUUUCCAUAUAGCUUUCUCGUUUCUGAAAAGUUUAUGCUGCCCCUGUUAUGACAACGGUUAAUACAUUUAUUACUUAGAUCUACACAAUCUCUAUCAUUUCAUAUAUAUUGGCUGAGAGGUGAGGAAUGAUUUAGCUCUUGUCUGAGUCAAAUGUUUAGCAUGCCUUAGUCGCUGGGUCUUGUUAUUGGUUGUUCAAACAAUUGCUUCGCUACUUGCAGAGUAUAGGACCGUCUCUGGUGUUGCUGGGCCGUUGGUUACACUCGACAAAGUCAAGGUAAAUUUCACCAGUUAUAAUUUUAUGAGGUUCAGUGGACUCCUAUACUAACAUGUUGGAUUAAUUUUAUUGUAUAUCAGGGACCAAAUUAUCAAGAGAUAGUAAAUAUCCGCUUGGGUGAUGGAACAACUAGACGUGGACAAGUCCUUGAAGUUGAUGGAGAGAAAGUUGCUGUGCAGGUUCAGUCUCAGUUGCCAGCCUCUUCUUUUUUCCUUUAGCUCUCUUGAUACUGCAUUUUUGUUGUUUGGACUGCAAUACUUGGGUCAACUUUGUGUGCAAUACUUUUCAGCUGAUGACCCAGUGAAUUCUCUGUCAUUCAUUGCAAGCAUUAGAAAAAGCAGAACAUGAAGAGUAUUAUCUUAGGUAUAUGUGAUGAAAUGUGAGAACAUCAUAUGGGAUGAUAAUUGAAAUGUGAUAGAAUUUCUUGAGAACAAUGUUAAGAGUCUAAUUAGCAUUCCGUUUAGGCAAUUAUAGAUCCUCUUUGCUCUCGAGUGAUGGAAGUCUAGUCAUGGUGUGGGUUAUUUUGGCUCUGCAAAAGGCUAAUAAUCUUUCCUAUAUGUCUCUAAUUGUUGUCAAACUUCCGUAGGUUCUGUUAUUCACUAGUUUCUUUGUCAGUAAAAUUUAAAUAUAAGUAUUCUACUCAUGCUUGUGUGAUCGGUGGUUGUUCAUCUUAGACUUCCAGUACGUAAAGCUUUCUGGUCAUCCAUGUUUCACUCUCUUGUCGCUAGGUUUAUGAAGGUACUUCUGGGAUUGAAAACAAAUACACCAUUGUGCAAUUCAUUGGUGAGGUAAUUAUGCAUGCUGUUUGUUUUUGUUUUCCUAAUAAAACAAUGUUUCAUCAUUCUGUAGAAAGAAAGAGUUAGAUUUGUUUUUUUCCGUAUUUGGGAACUAAAUGCUCCUACAUGUUGGCAACAAGAUUUCACUUGUAGCAUGAGAAAUAAUUUGGCAUAUGUCUUGGGCUUGGCCUCAUGAAAGGCUGUCAAAAGUGCAUUGUUUUCCUACCUUUACAAAUCUUUUUAGCUGUGUCAGCAUUUACUCUCUUUAAUCUUGGAUAAAUAAAAAAACCUUUAGAAAUUUAUUGUGGAGUUCUCACAUUUUUCUUUUAAUGCAGGUUCUAGAAAGCCCAUUGAUAAUGGCUCUCCAAUUCUGCCAGAGGCUUACCUGGAUAUUUCUGGUGAGUUGUGUCAUUGUGAUAGUAAUUUUGAUUGGCCAUGGAGCCAUUUAUACUUCAUGGCACCUAUGGCAAUCCCAAGAUCCCAGUGAAAGAACCUUCCUGGAAGAGAUGAUACAAACAGGAAUUUCCUCCAUUGAUGUAACGAAUUCCAUAGCUCGUGGACAAAAGAUCCCACCUUUCUUUGCUGCUGGUCUUCCUCAUAACAAAAUAGCUACUCAGAUUUCCGCCAGGCUAGUCUUGUGAAGCGAUUGGAGAAGGCUGAUGGUAUUACCAAGAUAUAUGUUGCAUCUUUGUUGUAUACCAAUGUUAUAAUACCCUGCUCUAUGAGUUUUAUUGCCUCGAUAAUUUAAGGAACUACCAUUAGUUUUACAGAAUUUUCCUACGGUUUUGGAGUUCAGGUUCAGAAUUCACCUACAAUGUAUUUUAUCCUUUGACUAACUAGCUCCACUAUUAUAUGCUAGACUUCUCAAUUGCUAAAUGCAUUCUUUGUGAAGAUUUUUGAUCUUAUUUUAUUUGUUGUUUUUUUGAGAAUUCGAUGUUAUGAGCCUUCAUCUUUCUAUUCCAAACACUCUCUUUCAAUAUCAUUUAUGAAAAUGUGCUGCAAAUUUAUGUAGGAUGACAAAGAGGACAAUUUUGCCAACAAUGUUGCCAUAGUAUUUGCUGCUAUGGGAGUGUACAUGGAAACUGCACAAUAUCUCAAACGUGACUUGGAGGAAAAUGGGUCAAUGGAGAGAGUGGCCCUUUUUCCUUAAUCUGGUAAUAUCUAAUGAGCUAAUAGUUAAUUGUCUCGCAGAUUGUUUCUUUCUGGCAAUUUUUGCAAGUUCGUAGAUUCAGUUCGUGACAUAUAUCCUUGCUGAUUAAAGGGUUGUACGGAUGCCUGUAUUUCAUUUUACGAAGUUUGCUAUUUUCUUUAGGCCAAUGAUCCAACUGUUGAAUGCAUCAUCACUCCACGAGUGGUGGUCACAACUGCUGAGUAUCUGGCUUAAGAAUGUGACACAUCUAUAGUGAUUUUUUUAUUUAUUUAUUGUGAUGUCAGAAUUUCAAAAUUAUAUCCACUAUGGAUGAGGAUAGGCGGGGCUUGGGGGCCUUGGGAAGAACCAGUAGGGGAUUGUGACACCCAUCGAAGCAAAGUUGUGUCCUAAGAAUAUGGGUAUGGGUUUCAACGACUACCAAAGAAACCCCUGCAAAGGCGCCUGCUGCCUCGUUGGAGCCAGAGGAAAAGAAGCCAUCACCUGAUGUGCCUGGUAAGGAGGAGCUUUUGUCUAAGCAAGCGAACAAGACGAUGCUGAAAAACAAAGCGAAACACAUUACAGCAGAAGAGCUGUUGGCGAAGAAGCAGGAACAGGGUGUUGAAGUUGUGCAAAACGUACACAACAUGCGUGGACCUCAGGUUAGGGUAUUAGCAAGCCUGGAGAAUCUGAACGUGGAAGAGAAGGUGAGGGAGAGUGAUAUUCCUAUGUGCGAGCUCCAGCACAAUAUAAGGUCGAUUGUGGACCUAGUUGAGUUGGAUAUUCAGAAGAUCGAUAGGGACCUGAGGAAUGAGAAGGAGAAAGCUCUGAGCUUGCAAGAGGAAAACAGAAGCUACAAGCUGAGGCAGAACUCCAGAAGAAACAAAUGAAUAAUCUAGCAACUAAAUUGUGCACAUGGAACAGCGGAAGCACAAUCACGGUAGAGUCUGAUUCCGUUAGUUUGUACCCCACCUUAUGAUGCCAAAUUGCGCUGAGUUAGCAGCAUGUGAUUGGGGAGGGGUGGCCCAUAGCGCUGGAGGUGUGCAAGAACAUAGCUACAUCCGAGGGAUCGUUGACAACUGUGGACAUCGAGUCGAGGCUCGGCUCGGCUCUACGUCGGUCGAAGAGAGAGUGAUUUGGUAGAGUGAAGAUUGGCGGUUAGGUGGGGGAUGUUGAGCUUGGAAGCAGCGGAUUGAGCCCGUCGGUUUCCUUCUUGCAGUGUCAAUAGGAGCUUCGGUUCUGAGUCGGAAAGGUAGAACUUGAGCACCUUAGCUGUGUAGAAGGGAUUGAGCGGAGCUGCGGUGGCUCAGCAAUGGAUUACCGCUGGAAACAGGAUCACAAACUGCAAAACGAACACAUUUUCCAAUAAGAAAACUAUCACACCAGUCCCUGCGGAUUGGAGAUACACAUACAUAUGCAGGAUAUGCAGACAACUAGUUUGUCAACAUUUAAUUUCAUUAAAACCAUCCAUCUCCUUUUGAUAAGCGUUGACUUUGUUUUACGAUGAAUCGGUGCUUGUACAUCCCAGAAAACAACCCUUGGACCCGACAGAAAAUUCUCUUCAUGCUUUUCCCAUUUCAAUUUGUUCCUGUUCAAUUUGCACCACGCGCUCGCAGAAAUUUCAUGCCUCAGAUGCAAUUUUUUUCAGUAGAAAUCGAUGCCAUUUCCGUCUCUCUGUUCUCGAAGUACUGUAAAACUCCAAGAAACAUCUACCUCUUUCUUUCCCAAGCUAUUUCCCAGUCGAUGUUUCGCAAGUCAUCGAUCUCAUCAUUAGAAAUUCAUCGUCACCGCAAUCUUCCAGAUAUUGUGUUCUCAAAUUUAAACAGCAUCAUCCGUACUUGCGAACAGACCGGGAUGACACAGACAUACCUCGAUGUUGUUGAGGAAAGUAAGCGCGGCGGUGUCGGUGCGAGGCAGUGAUGAGUACGGUGGUGCAAUUGACAAGCUCCUGCAGCCGCAUGUGUGUCAGGUCGAGCUCCUCGCAGGCGGAGACGGCUCUCUUGUUGGGGAAAUCCGAUGUUGCCUUCUUCAAUAGGUCCGUGAGCGUAAGUUCUCCCAUCACUAACCACAGGGAACGAAUCGACGGCAAUCGGCUUCAGCCGAAACCAAUCCCCGAUCAAACUGAAGAGGGGCACCACAAUCGCUUGGCGAGACAAGAAUGAAGGAUCGACAAGAACAGGAAUUCGCACGUAUGCAUAUGAGAUGGAAAUGAGACCAGAGGGAGGAAGGGAAGGAAGUUGAUGCAAUCGAGGUGGCUCCGCGGCCAGUGCGAGCUCGGUUAAGGUGGCGACGGAGACUUAACGGAUCAAAGGCUGUAACUAGUCUCACUAAUGUCUUCGCAAGAAAAUGUUUCAAUAAACUAAUGAUAGCCACGUAAUCAAUACAUUUGUCCAUUCAGUGGACGACAAGUGGCACUAUGGCGGCCCGCUCUAUCAGCAAGUCUGCAAGUCCAUUCUGCACGACAAAAUAAAUGUCGUCCAAGUUUGAGAUAAGAAAUGAAAACCGCAGCAUCAGAAAAGGUCAUCACCAAAGGAUUAAAAUCCAGUCCAAGUUUGGGGCAAUGGCGAUUCUUGCACAGAUUGUAUAUAUGCGAAGAUCAAUGGCGAUUCUGACAGUCCAUUCUUUGCACGCACACACGCAGAUCUCCUGCUCCUUCACAACAAAAUACACAUUCAAAACUCAAUUAUGUUCAUACAGAACACUUUAACUCGAACCAGAGGAAUCAACAAGCCACGAGACAGCAAUUUUCAUGUCAUACGCCGAGCAUACGAGGUGAGAAUACUAACACUAUUUGACAAAUGAGCAUCCUAUUCUGACAAAGUCGGCCAUAAUAAGUAUUCAAAAAGUUGAGAACAAAUCGAAUUUAUGUAAUAUGAUUCUGCGGUUUGAGAAUUGAAUCGAAUUUACAUACUGAUCUAGUUCGAGCAUUUUAUCAAACAAGUAAUGUGCAUUUUAACCAAGGAGCUCAUACGCCAAUGCACAGCAAGGAUUGACUUUCAGAUCAUCACGAAAAUAACAGCACAAGUCCGAGUUGUUAAAUAAAGCUUCAAUCUCAACUGAUUUACUCACAGACAUUAGCUAAAGCUAACCGGCUCUGUUUCGUUCAUGAGCAGCAGAAACAGAGUGCGUGGGAUUUACCUUGAUGAGAGUGAGUUUUUCACUUCGGUCCGUGAUCAGAUCGGAGAAAAGUUACUGGCGCUCUCCACGUCGACGAUUGACCUCUGGCUCGUGCACGUUUGGGCGGCAUGACCAGAAAACAGAGCAGAAGGAGAGGAGGCCUUGCGGCAACGGAACCGGCAAUGGUGGAGCCGCUACGGCAGCGUUUCGACAGUGUCUAAAGGACAAUGGAGAAGGAGAACCGAUGAAGGAUCCUCUAGAAUUCCAAAGAGAGAGAGUUUCUUCGUGAGCUUCGGUGUGUGCGUUCUAUCGUGUCAUCGCUGAGCCUGUGGUGGCCGUCGAUGGUGGUGCGACGGUGGCUGUGGUGAUUGUAGACGGCCGACGGUGGUCUGGGCUUCGCCUUGUGGAUAAGGUCUGGGCUACACGAAUUAAACCAGGCCCAACAAACCGGACCAGGUCCUUUCGAUUAUGAUUUUUUCUUUCUUUCUUUCUUUUCUUUCUUCGUUUGUUAUUUAUUUUUAAUAUUAUUUUUUACUUUUUAUUUAUUUAUAUUUACCCAAAUGCAUGUUCGACUUGUUGGCAAAAAUUCAGGAGUCAAUAGGAGCAAUAUUCCAUCAUUUGGCCUAAGAACAACUUCACACCAAACUCAAUUACAAUUCAUUGUUUGUGCAAUAUUGUGACAUUAUUCCCUUAAAGAUUAGUCCUUGUACUUAACUCUUCCAUCCUUGAGUUGAAUUUGAGCGCUGAUAGCAUGGCUGCACUCGUACUUGAGUUGAUUUCUUGUAGAAUCGAUGCACACAGUACAGUUUGCAUCUCGAAGCGCAUUUUGCACGUUCUGUGCACGCAACACAUCGCGAUGGAAUCAUCAUGCUCCUGUAAUAGUUGUACACAUGACUUGCCAUCUUAAUUUAUCAUCAUAUAGGUGAUGCGUGUACUUUUAAGAUUGCCACUUUAUCUGUGUUCUUAGCACGUAUCUCAGUAUUGAUUUGUGCAAGUGGGUGGCACAUAUUCCGUCCAUGGUCUCCUCUGUUGAAUACUCUUGGCCAAGAGAUUACAAUGUCCUCUUUUGACUAACAUCCUCGUCUGUGCUUUGUCGUAUACGGUUUGUUAGGCAUUUAUACAGGUUAGAUACUUUUUGUGAUCAAGAGCAGUACAUUCCAUCCUAUAACAUCAAUUAUCUUGUGGGAUUGUGACGAACAUCACAUCAGGUCCGUUUUCACGUUCUCGUUCUUUCGCCCUUCGCCCGCCACUUGUAUCCGGCAAACUCAAUAAGAUAGCUCCACCACCCGUCAUUUCUCCGGCCUGCCAGAAUUUCUUCCGAUUUCCGUGUCUUGUUGCGCGCGAAUCAGUUGAAGUCGGAAGACGGUUUCGUAAAAAUCUCCCUUCUCAAUCUUCAUCGUCGUCUUCUUCUUCAGCUAGGGCUUUGUUUUCAAAUUCGUCCCAUGUUCGAGGUUAUCUCAUGUUUUAUUUUUUUGGUUAUGUUUUUCCACUCGCGCUAGUGACUUCAGAUCAUGGUAGGCUACCUUAGAGUGUCAAAAGGAAAAGUUCCGAAACUAGCUGAAAAAGACGAGGAUUGAGAGUGUAUAUAUGGGUCUUUCUUUAUCGAACUGGCUGUUUGAAAAUGCGGAUGAGCAGACCACUCCUUGUGGCUUCAUCAAGAAACAUCUUCAUGACAGCAAAGUAGUUGCCACUCUUCAGGCAUUUAGACAGAUCGCGGCCGGAGAAGUUAAGGAGCUAUGUGCACGUGGCAAUAAUAUCACGUCAAGUGUAGAUGUCUGCGUGUUUUGAGCUCGUCGAUGGAGAUGAUAUCGUGUUCAAAGUCUCAAUUUUCGGCCCUGCUGGUGCGUACCAGAAUUUAUUUGGGCAAAUCAACUGAAUCUUGAUAUGCAUGGCCAAGCAAUUUUCAAUCUAUGCUACAUCUUUUCAUAGUUAGUCAAUUCAAGAAACUUUCACGCCACUGUCUACUAAAUUCCUCAUCAUUUAAUUGGGAGAAAAGGUUAAUCAACUAAAUCUUGACCCUUAUCCCUACCAGUUUUGGAUCUAAGUGCAACUUGGUCUCCUUGUCAUGCAAUCCCCAUCGAUAUUGACGUCCAAGAACCACAUCUGUCGCUAGACGUUAGACGACGUGGGAACGUUAUUGGAGGGGCUUAUGACAUCUCAAAGUUAGAAAUUGGAUGGGAGAGAGGGACUUCAAGAUAAAUAUCCUUGUCCGAAUGAUCAUCACAUUAUACAGUUACUCAAAGUGUUAUUUUCGAGAGUGGGUCGGAUGGUUAAACCAUUGAACGGUACUACGGACAUCCAAUCAACCGAGUUUUAAAAAAGACAGAAAUUGGAGAAAAGGAAGAUAGUUUUAUUAAAUAAAGAGGCAAAGGUUUCGGAAAAUAGCAAAAAGUGGAUAAAAUAGCUAAAGAAGGUCCUACACACGUUCUCUGCCCUAUCGAACGCCAUUGCUCACCUGCUAGCUACAACGGCUACGCGCUUGCACCCUCUCUCUUGGAAAAAUGGGCUCUUGUGGGCACCACAUGCACCCGAGUCCCCAACUAGCCAGGUUGGAAGAGGAAAAAAUAAACAUAAAUGUUUUGAAAAAGCCUUUUUCUUAAAAAUAAUUGAUUAUAUCUCGAAUAGUCAGUCAAAAAAAUGUUUUUAUUACCAAUAACAAUUUAAUCAUUUUCAUUUAUUCAUUUUUGCAAGUGAUAAAAGCAAUUAUUUAUAGAGAAAUAUUUUUCAAAAUGUCAAUUUUUCACGAAACAAAUGAAUCGGUUUUCAUUAUUUUUAUUUAUUUAUUGCCAUCAAGUUCGUCUCACCAUUGACUAAUAAGUCAUAAUCUUACUUGACUCUAUCCUCUGAAACUUGAAAAAAAUACAAUAUUAAUACCCCAAAACUCCGGCAACUUUUUAGAAGCCCACAAACGAUAAUGUUACGAAAGAAAUUGGUAUAGCCUUUUCAUUUCCAGUUUGUUUCAUCUACAACAUUGCGACACCGAAAUCUACUUCCCGAAGUAAAUUGAGAGAUUCACGUGGUCGCAUUGAUGGCAAGCGUGCAGUGUAUCUGAUCCUUUGCGGUUCUUGAACUGCGACAAUUUGGUAUAGUAGAAUGAGGAAUAUUGUCUCUCUAAUAAACAUGAAGAAAAGCAAACCCAAAUAAUAAUCCAUUCAAACCCUAGAGCACCAGAGCAUGUAAUUAACAAAUUGAAUUCGACACGACUGACUAAUUACCCUUGUUGCCAAACGGAAUAACAAUUUAGAGAAUAGCGGUUAAGCUAUACAACAAUAGGUCACCCAUCAAAUUUUAUGAGGGCAAAGAGUGUCAUUGAAUAGCAAAAGCAAUUACUAAUUUACUAUUUCGUAACAAGACGAGCAUGUCCAUAAUCUGCCAAUGAUUGCUUACCCUUUCAAACAAAAUAAGGUAGGAAAAAAGGACGAAGGAGGCGUGAAGCUUUCUAAGGCUAAUACCAAACAUUAGCCUCAGAAAGCUUCACGCAAAUUAUCCACCCCUUGACGACAACGCAUACAAAUAAUGCAACACACUGCAUGUAAAAAUAAGCUGACUGCAAAUCUGAAAAAAGCAGAGGGUGAGGACGAACUUUGGUAGGAGGGACAUAUCGGAUAUGUUAGACAGUUCAUGAGAACCUCUCAUUUUGCACGCCACAGAUGAUUCUCACGUCCGAUAGAUCCUGAGGGUGAUGAGUGAUCUAAUGAGGCAGGAUCCAGUAAAGCUUCCUCUCGGUGGGAUGGCGACGUCUUCACAGGGGUUGGGAGUGUUGGGCACUGAAUCUUGCUACAGCUCUUCUUUAAACUAUAGGGACUGAUAUAUCGCCACAGCCGACACGCAGCGUAGCAAAAUUGAAUGUCGUAAAAUCCAUGACAAACCUGAGGCCAUAGAAAGCAGCGUUGACUUCAACUCCAACGAAACCAGCCUCUGUGAUUGCAGAAUCAACAACCCUCUCAGGUCCAUACUACUAAAAAGAAAAGAAGCUUUAGACACAUUGAAAGACUCUAGGAUCUGCAAACAUUUCCUCAUCAAACGCAGCAUUCAUGGCCUCUCUCACAAUCAUCUCUUUCCCAUAGUAUCAUAACUACGUAAAGGCAUUUCUGCAGCACAACUCUUCCGUGGCCUUUCUCUUGACAACAUAGCAUCCGAGGGCUUUUCGUAUUAGAAUCGAUAACAUCAUGCGCUCUUGAACUCGAACUUGCUCUCUCUCUCUCUCUCUCUCUCGAACGGGUAUCCUUGGAAACAAAGUCCAGCUUCGUCAUUCCAUCGAACACCUUCCUUGCAAACUCGAUUCCCUCCUCCACAGCACAACCAACGGCAAUUGAAUUUCAGAAGACAGCGAGAGAAUUGGGAGAAAAAACAAGAUCGAAACAGAAAUCAACAGACAAAUCUGGAACGAAUCGAAAUUCAUUCUAGAGUUCAACGGGAGACGACGAAUUUCGUCAUCGCUUCAAUGUUACGAGGAACCGGCUGUCUCUGAAGAUCUCUCGAAGCAAUGAUCGUAAGAGAUUCCAGUUGACAGGCUCACUCCCUCAUGGUUUCGUACAGAGAGAAAGAGAGAGAUUCUUCUCUGAAUUUUAGACACCUCGUUCUUUUCUCCUCUCUCUCUCUUUUAUUUUAUUUGCACUCUUGUUAUUUCUUUUUAUUUUGUUUUGUGUCUUUGAUUUGUAUUUUAUAAAUAAAAAAUAUACAAAUAAAAUUCAGCUUCUUCAAUGAAGGAACUGAAUUUUAAUAUUCUAUCCCCUCUUUUCUUUUAUUUGUAUUUUUGUUAUUUAUUUUUUAUUUUUUACAUCUUUAAUUUGCCGGUUAAACUAACGAUACAGUCAAAAAGUUGAAGCUAUGCUCCAAUACUGGAUGAGCAUCACUCUUUAAUUUGGCCAUAAGCGAAAUCCAUGCAAGUAGCACGUACCAACUAUGCCAAUCCAACAAUGCAUGCUCCUUGGCCAAAGCAUUGGACAUCACCAUAAGAACCACCGGCAUAGUGGUCUAAUCAUCGGGUCUCAAUGUCAGAUUUUCAAAAUAUCUUUCAGUUGGGCCCAAUUUAGGAAAUUUGGAUUUUAGUUAAAGCUGAGAUGGCCCAUAUCCGCUUUUUUUGUAAUUUAGAAAUAAUGUCUUAUUUUCCUUCUCACCAAGCCUCUUUCAUUUUCCCCGAUCUCUCGUUCUCUCUUGUCUCAUGAUCAUCGAGUCGUCCAGUCCCCACCAACCCGCCACCGCGCCACCUUCGAGCCCUGAGCUCUGCUUUCUCUCUCUCAGUCUUUCUUCUCGUGUCUCGCCCACAUGUCAGCGAGUUACAAAGCGAGAGAUGGGACGGACUCACUUUUUUGCUCGUGUCAUGGUCUCCCUCCCGCUCCCCCUCUCUCCAGCAAGUGGCAAAACAGGUUUUUACUAGCCUGUUCUGAUGUCUUCAAGGUUUUUGAAUUUAGGACGUGCUAUUUGAAUUUCUCAUGGAGAGUAAAAGCAAAAAAUAAAAUAAAAUAAACACUUUUUUUUUUAAAUAUCGGGCUGUGCCAGACCCUUGGAUCUGGGCCAUAUGGCAUGGCUUCAGUCCGGGCCAGGUCCUCAGUCACACAUUUUUGGACUGACCCUCGAAAUAAGAAAAAGGUUUCGCUCUGGUCCUUUGGCCACGAGGCCUUUAUUGGCUUCCACAGCUAAUAGGUGGUCCAGCGAAUGACCGCAGAGCCGUUGGAUAUGAUAAGGGACGCUAUUCUUCCAUAUCAGCUAACCUCACAAGUUUUCGGAGAACGGUUUGGUUUCGCCUCUUCUCUUUGUGUUUUUCCCCUUUCUGGGGUUCCUUUUUUCUCUCCCCUUUCUCUCAGCAUUGUGUAAUAUCAGCUCAUGCGAGCGAGCCAAUUGUGAGAAUUGCUUGUAAUUUUCUUGUUUUUCGUUUCUUUUCUUGGCAAAUGGAGCAACACCUAAAACUCCAAUCGCAUUUCAUUAAAUUGGGUAUCAUUCAUCCGGCCAAACCUACAACUUGAGGUGAGUUGUUUUCUUUCGUGACAAAAGCAGGAACACUAGCAUCUUACUAGUCAAAAGUUAAAAAGACUUUUAUCAAGAUACGAUAGUUGGAGCUAUAUAAUUCGUGAUAAAAUAUUGUGCUCUUCUAUUUCCUAUUGAUCGAGUGACAUGCAAAGACUAACAUAAUUUCUAAAAUAAAGGGUUUAUUGUUAUUAGCCCGUGAGAAGACCCAGGAAAAGGGCGAAACAAGAAUUGAAAACGUGUCGAAGAGGACAAAGGAAGAGCAAAUUCUUAUCUGGGUGCGGGGAAUCAUGACCAAAGGGGUUCUCAUCGUUGUCGUUAAUCGUUAAACGUGUCGUUAACGGCUCGAUCUCGGGUGCACGAAUCCGGAUCCAAGGCGAAAAGAGGGAAAGGGCCCCGUCCUGAGGAUGAUCGGGCGCGGGAGGAGGGAGGGAACCCGGUAAAAGCGGUAGGGUGGCGGGGCAGGGGAGUGCACCGGCAGACUACUCCUGUUCAAUUUCGAUUGGGUUUGUGAGGUUAAUAAUAAUUCAGACGCACACUCAUUAAUGCCACAUUCCAAGCCUAAAUGAACUGAAAAGGACGUGCUUCUGGAUGUCCUUAUCCUUUCUCGUUAUGUUGUUCUUCAUUUUGAAUUUGAAAUUAAGUGUCAUGACGUAGUUAAAAUUAUGGGUUUUAUUUUUCCCACGGGGAACACCAAAGAGGUUCAUGAGAAAAUGUAAUGAGAAUCUUCCAAUGGCCUGUGGAAUUGGAAAAAAUGUGAUGAGAUGAUUUGGUUAUCAAACGGUUGGGAUGAAUUCGUAGAGCGUUACUCUAUCUGCGAGGGACAAUUUUUGGUCUUCAAAUCUGAAGUGGACUCCAUUUUCCAUGUAAUCAUAUUUGAUAAAAGCAAGUCCAAGAUAGAAUAUCCACCAACAAAUGCCAAUGGUAGGAACCGACCCUCAGCAGUUGGGCAUUUGUCUGGUUGAAAGUGGAAGAUGCCGACGAUUUCCGUGAUGUUUCGGUCAAGCUUGAAGUCUAGGGGGAUGAAUUGCAUUCACCCAAGUGUCCUCGGCUUUGUAAGGCAAUGGAAUCUGAUCGGGUUUGCGAAGUUCAUGACGGUUCCUAUGCACACUCAUCAGCACAGAGUUUGCGAGGAGACGGAAGUUCGAACUACUUAUCAUGAGAUUUUCAAUCCAUUUGAUUGUGUUCUUGUGUUUGAUUCCAAUUCCGUAUUCCGUAUAGGAACUCUCCAUGUGAUUUGGCUAAGAGAGGGAGCGUUAAAGCUAACUCAUUCUUGUAGGGCCCAUUUGGUUCGGCUUUUGGAGAAUGCAUUUGCCAAAAUGCAAAUACCUUUGGGUGAAUAGGGUUUUCCGAAAUGCAAAUAUCGUUUGAUAAAAUUUGCAUUGAGAUAUAACUUUGGCCAAAAUACCGUUUGGUAAAAUUUGCAUCUGUAAAGGACUUUUAUUAAAUUAAAAAAAACAAAAAAAAAACAUUAGUAUUUUUUUUUUUGAAGUCUGGCCAUCGGAUUGCCGGAUCUGGCGGCCGGAUGGUCGGAUCUAGCGGCACGACCCCAGGCGACCUCAUGUGGCCGCUUGGGUCGCGCGACCCAGGCCAUCAAUCGCCUGGGUCACGCGACCCAGGCGUCGCCUGAGGUCUGGCAACGGUCACCGGGGUCGGGCGACCCUCAGGCGGCAGUCACUAGAGCCUCGUCGGCACGCGUGACCCCUUAGCUGAUGACCCGCCGGCCUCCGAUCAGCUUCUUCCGAUGGUGUGCGGUGGUUUUUGAGAAGAUGAACAAUACUGAACUUGCAUUCCAGAGAUGCAACUUCCCAAAAUACCUCCGGAGCUGCAUUAGACUAAAGGCCUUUAGAGCCACUUGGAGAUGCAAUUGCAUCUCGCCAAAGUCACUCAAAAAAACAAAUCAAACACAUUUGCAUUUGACCAAGGGACUUUAGAGUCCCAAAGGGCUUUCCAAAUGCCCAACCAAACAGGGCCGUAGUGUUUAUCUAUCUCUAGCUUUCCCAUGUGUGCAUAUGUAUGUUUUAGGGGAUCUCAUAAAUGUCAAGCCAAUGGAAACAAGCCGAAUGAGUCAUAUCGGAUUUGAUUGUGCUGAAAUUGACAUUGGUGUGCAUAUAGGCCUCGAAAGCUAGACUAUUAGAAAGACCCAGAUCCAUCAAAUUGGGGUUGAUGUGUCCGGAGAUAUGAAUUUCACAUAAUAAGAAUAGCAUAUGCCUAAGCUUUCUUCAUGUUCUAAUUUGUGACUGUUGCAGAUAAACUGAAACAACUGGGUUUGCGCAGAGUUGUCAAAUCAGCCAGCAAAAUUAAACCCGACCACAUUGCGGUGAGGUGAAUAUAUCUAAAGAAAAGCAAUGUGGUAUGAUCCUCAUGACAAUGACAACACUUGAAUUUAAAUCACAGAGUUGCUAGACUAUAUUAGCUCUAGAUUGAUUGUGCAUCAGGUCAUUAAUUUCUGUUUUUAUCCUUGACAUGCUUUGAAAAGGAUCCUCGUACUGUCUUGGUCAGAAAUCGUUGGUUGUCUUCUUCUUUCUGAUGACAAAACUGCAGAAAGUGCACUUGAGUAAAGAGUUCCCGGCCCAUUCCCAAAGAUGCACUUCAAGAAAAGCCUGUGGACUGUGGCUCUCAUAUAUCAGGACAAAUCAUGGCCGGUGAAGCGCAUUAGCCACGAACAUUAUGGAAAGUUAUCUGUUGGUUGGGCUACUUUCUCGAGAGAAACUUCUCUGAAGGAGGGAGGCUUGUGCAUGUUCAAGCUCUAUUAGAAGGGGCAACGUCGUGUUCAGAGUAUACAUCUUCAAGACCACUAGCCAGAGGUAGGUGAAAAAUCCUAUGCAAUAGGACACGGCAAAGGAAGCAUCACUUUAGCUCAGAAUUGCUUGGCUAAAAUCUGCUUCAAAUUUGACAAAUCAGAAAAAAGCAUGAGUUUUAUUCUAAUGAAUGGAAAGAUACCUUUAAUCGAUCCUAGUGUUACAGUCACCACGUGGGGAUGACCGAAUGAGUCAUGAGUCAUGAGACGGAGGAAGCUGAUUGCUUCUAGUACAAGUCACACAGCCUCAUUUCCUUACUCCUCCCAUAGUAGAUUUUCGUCGUCAUCGAACCACUCUCUAUAUUUCAAAACCCAAAAGGAAAUUUAUAUUCAUUUAAGCAAAGAGAGACAAUAAAACGAUGUAAAAGCCGUCCUUCAAGUCUAUAUUAAUCAAAAUAUCCAAUGCUCUCUAGUGAUUAAUACAUAGAUUCUAAUUAUAAUCGGACAUCUACCGAGCACAACCGAAAAAGAGUUCUAUAAGCUAGCAAUGACCUAAAAAAUAGUUCCACAAGAGGGCUCAACCUCCUCGACUUAUUAAAUGAAUCACGAGGCAAGGAAAAGAGAACUUGGGCAAUUAAUGGCAUUAAACGCAAUUAAUGCGAAUCAUGCAGAAAUUAUUAGAAGUAUAGUGAGUUGGGGCUUAGAUGGUGUUCCUUACUCAUGUCAAUUGGCAAUGAUAAAGAAAAGUAACUAACUUGUGUGAAAGUUAUCAAUCAUUUAAAAAUUUAGUGUCACUUUAAAACUUACAAAAUUUAUUAAUCAGAUAAAAAAAUUAAAAAAAAAAUGUACGAUUACAAAUUACUUUCAAUCUGCAGAGCGUUACUUACAAAUUUGAAAAACUCUUUUAUGCAUGUGACACUCCAAAUUCCAUAUGGAUUGGAAGAGGGAUAAUUGACCAAUAGAUAAGUGUGAACACAAACCACCACCGCUAGAUAUUCACCUCCUGAAAAACUUAUUUAGGGGCUUAGAUCAUAACAAAUCGGAUUGUUAAUAUUAGAAAAUUCCAUGCCUAACUUAUAGCUCGAACUUGCACAUUAAUUAAAGAUAUUUAACUUGGUAUUUGGCUCAAAUAAAAGUUGUACUCUACAAUGCUAACCUAAGAAAAGUAUAUAAUUCUCUCAAAUUAAGAUAGGUAAUUUCGCACAAAAAGUGUUAAGCGUGAUUGUGGUUGGUGGAGGAGAAAUACCUAUGUAGAUAAACCAAGAAAGCGAAUCUUUUUAAUACGAAAGUAAGUUAUACUAGCCAUUUAGCUUAAUUCUCCAAAAAAGUAUCAACUUUAUCUGGAGUAUUAAUUCAGGCAUAACCUUUUUUUUGUAACAAAAAAUCAUCAACUUCCAUGCCUAAAUCUGACUCCGAUUAGCUUUCCAUCAACUAAUGGUGUUAAAUGUUUGAUGCAUCAAUUUCACGUCAUUAUCUUUUUCCAAGUCAGAAUUCAUAUAUAUAUGCUGUCUUCUUUUUUCUUUAUUUCUUUUUUCCAUUUCCCUUUUUCUUUCUUCUUCUUCUUCCUUUCACUGGACGAUAACCUGACCACCGUGAGUCAGCCGUACGAUCCAAUCAACGGCCCAGCCCUCCGUCCACCACCACCUCGCCACCUUCCACAACCCCAGCCGUAUUCCUGUUUUUCCCAGCCUCUCGCCACAUAUCUCCACCACCACCGCCUCUACUCUUGGCCGAUGACCCCUGGCUUCCGAUGUCCAGUAGCCUGGCCGUGGCUUGUCCUCGCUGUCGUCGAGCUCGAGCUCGGCCGGCGCUCUCGAGCCUCAAAUUUUGGAUCUAAGCUCAAGCGAGCCCUAGAUUCGAGAUAGGGGGUCAGCUGGACCUCGGACUUGGGUUGAUUAAGGUCGAGCGGGGUCGACGGCAAUCACAACUAGAUUUUUGGAGGUUAAUAUCCGUUCGUCCAUGGCUUUUCAAUCCAAGUCUGUGCAUGUUGAUUAAUUGAAAAUGAGUGAAUCAGCAGAAAGUUUAGAUUUUUUUUGUUCAGAAUAAGAUCACGACCAGUUUCAUUUAAAAUAUAUGCAAUAAAAUAAAAUAAAAUAAAAUAAAAUAAAAUAAAAUGCAAUGACAGAAGAGAAGCAUUGUACAGUUAGUCACUUUGCCUUCAAGAAGCUGAAAAAAAAAGUUGGAAAUGGGCUCUGGAAUACAGAUUUAGCUCAUUCCACUGAAGAGUACAAAGAAAUGUGUGCAGAUGGAGUAGAAGGUCGCCGAGGUAGGAGGUCUGGAUGCUGGGGUUCCAUCCACGGUUGCCGCCGACAAAUGUGGUCGGUGACGGUGGCAGAGGCCGGAGACACUAUGGCGGCUGCAAGGAGGAAGUGGAGGAUGACAGGGUGGGAUGAUGGUGGCCAUGGACGGACAACCUUUAGGUAGCGAAAGGAAGAAGGAAGAUUAUAAAAAGAAUAAGAAAAGGAAAAGCUACAUAUAAUUCUGAUUUGGGAAAAAAGAAUGAGUGGAAUUGACAAAUGAGACGUUUGAGGUUGAUGAUGCUCUUUGGACGGACAAAAAGUUAACAGAGGUCAGAUUUGGAUAUGAAGUCAAAGUUGGUGAUUGUUUAUGAGAUACUAAAGAAAAAAUAUUUGGGGCCAGAAUUGAGAUUUGAACCUAAAUUGGUGCAAUUUUGAGGAAUUAAGCCCUUGCUAUUUUUUUUUUUUUGGACAAUAAGCCCUUGCUAUUUAGAAUCAUCGUUUUCGACUAUGUUUUAAAAAUGGUAGUGUCUAUAACAUGAUAACAACAUGAACAGUAAUAAGCAAGAGAAUGAAUUAGGGCAUAUUUAUUUUCGCGGCAGAAAAUGCUGCAGGCAGAGUCUUUCUAUUGAAGAGAUGAUCCUGCCCCCACGGACGAGGACACUUAACACCUACAAAACACAAACGGGGCGAGGGAGUUUCUAUUGGUGGGUUCCAUCAUCAUUAUAUUUAUCUAUGUGAUGUAGAUGUUUCCGUAAUGGGUUCUCCAUUCUUUUCAUUUUCUUGAGUUUAAGCUUCCAUCACUUAUCUGAAAAUGGAGAAGCUGGACUCAAAAAAAUUUUGAACUACUACCAAAUAAAAAAUUGUUGGAUGAUAAUUAAUAAUGUUUCAUUACUUUAAUAGUUUUGAUGGCUUAAAUCUAUUACCAAAAAAGUCAUAAACUUAUUUUUUUGACUAAUUGAGUCCUAAACCUUUUACAAUUAUUUCCGAUCAGUCCAUUCGGUCAAAAUUGGGUAGUCGGCACUGAUGUGGCUGUGACACCCCUCGACGGCCCCCGAUCCGAUUAGGGUCGUCACAGUUCGCUUACCAUUCACUUUCCUUAUUAACAUAUCACUCUGAUACCAUUUCAAUUGUAGCGGGUCCAUACAACCGUGGGGGUUUACACACAUUUUUUUUUUUGAUAGGUCCCUUGCGCAAUUCAUAUACGGAAGCACAUCUAGCAAACUCCCUUCCUUAUAUUUAGAAAACUAUGCACACCUACUAAACAUCUUAUAUAAGUUAAAGCCGUACACUUUUAUUUACAUAAAGCAGAUGGACAUCUUUAGUCGGUACAUCAAAAUGCCGUAGUUUUCUAUACUCGGCUACACUUCAAAAGAUGACCGACAUCUCCUCCCACAAUCGCAUGCUUAAGGUCCAUCAUCCAGUGUCGGCGUCCAAAGGUUCCCUCCUUUGCUAUCCUUCUCCUCGCGGUCAUAUCCAACCGCUCAAACCAUCUACUAAUCUGAAAUGUUGGUCCCCAAAAGGGGUGAGUACUACCACUCAGCAGAUAAGGAAUCCAAUAACAACUCAAUGCAUCAUGCAAAUCAUACAUGCAUUGCAGGCGUAACUUACCUUGCAGCCAUGCGUAAUACUAUCAUGCAUCAUCAUGCCUUAUCAUCAUGCAUAUCAUAUCAUCAUAUGUCAUCAUCAUAAUCAUCAUCAUGGCAUCAUUAUAUCAUACAUGUCAUCCUUAUCAUGACAUCAUCACAUCACAUAUUAUCAUCAUCAUCAUGCAUAUCAUCAUGCANNNNNNNNNNNNNNNNNNNNNNNNNNNNNNNNNNNNNNNNNNNNNNNNNNNNNNNNNNNNNNNNNNNNNNNNNNNNNNNNNNNNNNNNNNNNNNNNNNNNCAUCACAUAUCAUCACCAUCAUCAUGCAUAUCAUCAUGCAUAUCAUACCAUGGGUGAUCAUUAUAUCACAUCACAUAUCAUCACCAUCAUCAUGCAUAUCAUCAUGCAUAUCAUACCAUGGUUUAAUUUUCAUCUUUAUCUUUCAAUUUUGAUCACCACAUCACCCAUUCAUCAAUCUCAUCAUCAAUUUCAUCCCAUAUUUUACCCUCGCAUCCCAUGCGAGAAAAACCUCCGGGCAUGUAUCCAAGAUACAACCGGGCAUCCGGCCCCCCACAUUCCGGGCAUCUCGCAUCCCAACUAGCAUCACGAGGAACCUCCAGGCAUGUAUCCAAGAUACAACCGGACAUCUGGCCUUUACCCUUCUAGCCAGGCAUCCCGCACCCCAAUCCUGGUGUCGCGAGGAACCUCCGGGCAUGUAUCCAAGAUACAACCGGACUUCCGGCCCCCCACAUUCCAUGCAUCCUGAAUCUCCCAGGGAAUCUCUGGAAUUACGCCACCAGGCCACCAGACAUCAUCAUCCACCACAACCACAUCCUCAUUUACCAUCAUCCACAUAUACCAUUUCUUUAUCUCAAUUUAACAUGGCAAUUGGCAUGGUAUCAAACAAAUCACACUUGACAUGGAAUUCACACUUGCAUCUCAAUUCAUAUGUCAUACACAUGCCAAAACUUUAUCCCAUACACAUCUCAAUUCAAUACAUGUACAAGGACCAUGUCAUACGCAUACCAAGACUUUAUUACAUAUACAUCUCAAUCCAAUACAUGUGCAAAGACCUCAUCACACAUAUGCCACACAAAUAGAAUUGAAUCCAUGGCCAAAUAAAAAUCCAUUUUAUUUUAUUAUUAUUUUAUUUAUUUAUUUUCAUAAAUAAAUAUUAAAUUUAAUAUCUAUGAUUUUCCCAAAAUCAUAGUAUUCAAACAAUCACUAAACAAAUCAAUAGGAUCACAAUUUCAUACAAAAUUCAUAGCCAAAUUGAAUUUCUCAUAAUUUCACAAUUUCCACAAAAUAGCACAUGAUAUUCGGAUAAUGACCAGAAUUGCACAGUUUUCAAAUAAAUUAGAUUAAAAUACUCAUAUGGCCUUCAAAAAUUACGAAAUUUUACAGGGUGAUAGCCAAGACAUUUUCGUGCAACUUUCAUGAAGAACUCUAAGUCAGAUUAUUUUUAUAUUAAUUUAUACAUCCUCACGAAACUUCUGGAACCACUACCGCAUCGUCCAGAAUACACAUCUCCGAAAUAUUAAGGUUUCACCCAUCUAUUCUCUUUCUUUUCCUCUGAAAUUUGAGUAUGUUAUGUAUCAAGGUGUCCUUUACAAGUUUCAUGAAGAGAUCUAGGUCACAUAACCAAAUUAUGGUCACCAUUUAAGUCCAUCAAGUCUCGGGUGUCUCGGAACACAUCACCAGAAUCAUCGUCUCCAAGAUCUAGCCGAUUCACCAAGCUAUACUUGUUCUUUUUGCUUCAAAUUUGAGUAUGUUGUAUUUUAAGGUGUUACCUUCAACUUUCAAGAAGACAACAAAGUGAGAUCUCCAACAGAAAUCAACAUGCAAAUCAAGAAAUCAACAAGAGGUCAGUGAAAAUUUCGCAGAUCUAAAGUCUCCGUACAAUAUAACUUUUGACCCCUCAAAUAUCCAUCGUUUUCUACGAAUUUUUAGUAUGUCAUAGUACAAGACGUUAGCUUCAACUCUCAUGAAGACACCGAAGCCAAAAUCGAACCCCAAACUCACAUGAAACUCGAACAAGCUACUGACUUCAACAAACCGAACAAGAACAGUCACACGGUUUACAAAUAACCAACUCUUACCUCGGUUUUUCGCACAAAUCACACCUAAAAUCUAACAUGCAACCACCACAACAAACAUGCAAGAGAAGUUACGGACUCCACUUGCCUUAAAGGUGAACAAGCAACGACGAACGGCGACGGGACACGGCGAUCGGACGGCGAACGGACGGCACACCCCUCCGGCUCCGCCUCCUCUCCUCUCGGUUUCUCCCUUUCUCUCAAGCUCUCUCUCUCGCACACCCUCUCUUUGGACGAAAAGCAAAGAACCGGCCAUCUCUCUCUCCUCAUCCCUUUUAUAUCCCCUUAAUCCCAUGAUUAGCAAUGAUUACUUUGCCUACAAACCCACCAAUGCAUGCCAUUCCUUCAUGCCACUUGUCACACUAAUUUUGAAUUGAUUUGGGCUUGGGCUUAGGCCCAUCCGGCCACUCCCUUGGGCUGGUCGAAAUCCUCCUCUUCUUGGGCUCUAAUGGGCCGACAAGCUUGGCCCACCAAGCUUUAGGCUAAUGGGUCCAAGGCCCAUUCCAAUUUAACCUAUUUUUCCCUUCUUUUUUUUUUUUUGAAUUCCUUUCUAUAAAUAUUUCCAAAUUCAAAUUUCAUCUUGGCCAAAGUCUUGGGACACUUUGUUUAUUAAGAUUUAAAUUUAAAAUCUCAUGGCCAAUUAUUAAUCUAUAAAUUUAAAUACACAAAUCAUCAAAUUAAAAGUCAAAUUGGCUAAGGCAUAAGCCAAAAGAAAUUCUAUCACCUAAUUAGGAACUUCAACUCACCUUAUGGCUUGUCAUUAAAUUUGGGAUGCCACAGUGGCAGCCGGUCAGCGCUAAGUCUGGUGAGGGGAGCCCUGCCGGAUCUGGUGAGGGAGGCUCGUCGUCGCAUUUGGCGAGGCCCUCCUCACCGGAUCUGGCGAGGUCUCGCCUCGCCCGACGACCGUGAGGCAAGCCCUCACCAAAUCCGGUGAGGGGGCUUGCCCUCGCCAGAUCCGACGGGGGCUUGCCCUACCGUCGCUAGGCGUGAGCUUGCUGACUAGCAAGGCAAGCUCGCCGGAUUGCCUUAGUCUAGUGACCAGCCAACUUGGCCAAUCACUAGAGCCAAAGGAAGGAGGAGGGAGGAGGGAGGAAGAGGGAGAAGGGGAAAAAAAAAACAAAAGAGGAAAAAGGAAAAAGAAAAGAUAAAAAAUUAAUAAAAUAUUUCAAAAAAAAAAAUAUUAUUAAGAAAAGCUCGCUGGCAUUGGCCAAUCAAUUUUAGCAGGAUGGACUAAUCGGAAUAAUUGUAAAAGGUUUAAAACUCAAUUGGUCAAAAAAAUAAGUUAUGACUAAACUAGCACAAUUGCAAUAGGUUUAUGACUUUUUUUAGUAAUUUUCCUCUUAUUUAUCAUAAAUUCUAUUUCUUUGCAAUCAAGAUUAUCUGCGAAGAAUGAUGGAUUGAUGAGAUUUGUGGUUAUGAAGGGUAUUCGCCUACAAAAUUUCUUUCCUUGAACUAAAAGGAGGGUCUGAUCCCUCCGUGCAUAGAGAAAGGUAGAUUUGUGCCCUUGAAUCCAGCGAGGCUUAGUUUUGCUUAUCAUUUUUGUAAAUCCAAUGAGAUUUUGUUAUAUAUAUGGGGUUGCAGAGGAGGUGAUUGAAUAUAUGCAUGAUCAAGUGGCAUAGAUCAUUGUUUACUUAUUUAUCCAUAAAAUCUCACACACACUAAUCGUUUAUCGAACAACAUGCAUGGCAGACUAGAUCAGGCUUUCUGUUGCAUAAUUAUUUCCUAAUUCUCUCCGCUUGACUUUAGACCUAGCAGGAGGGCUUGAGAGAAUGUGAGUGUAUUCAUGCUUAUAAUCAAGUUUACUUAACACGAAUUCAUUGGCUUGAUGGGAUUAUUUGUAUAAGUGUAGUUACUUUAUGGAGAAGCUUGAGUUAUAUAUUAGAGAAGUAUCCGCAUUGUCUACGUGAAAAAUUUUCGAGGCUCCUUCCGUCGUAGCACUAAAUAUCUAAAGUCCAUAUGAAAACAGAAAUCUACUAUAGAAAAAGAUAUCUGCCUCUUUCUACUAGGCUUAAGCUCGUGUCCGGUUUCAUACAUCGGUCCAAAGCCCAAGCACCAAAUGGGUCCGUAGGGUCUAGCCCUCAACAUAAGCUAAGGUGAGCUCGUUCCUAAAACAUCCUAUCUUCUGGUCAUUAUUUGACGAUUUAAAGCCCAAAGGAGCAAUUAAUCCAAAAGGAAGACUUUCCCUGCUUGAGGAGCGAAGCUUCCCGCAUCUCGUAUGCUCUGAAUUUGAUUAUGCUUAUCAUUGUUUGUUGGGUGUAAAAUUUCCUUUCCAGAAAUUAUACUUUACGACACAAAUUAUUAUGCACCAACUCCACGUACAGAAUCAAUUGGAGAAUACAUAUCUACAAAAUUAUACAAUAACAGCUUUUCUCUAAGAUUGAAACACAACACUCUAAUAGCUAGAAAGGACUUCUCCUUGUUUCAAGAAUUAGAUUUGCAACGUUCUCUAGAAAAAAAUACAUAAAUAAUGUGGCCACGUAGGCUCCACCUGAGCUGAUAUUAUGCACUACUGACUAAAUAGAUUACUCAAAUGAGAAUAUUUUUACAUGCACUAAUUCCAAAAAAUCUUGACUAGACCUUAGAAUUUAGAUUGAGGGCAUGUAAAUCGCAAAAUAUGAUGAGUAUUAUAGGAUCAACGGCUGUGAUUCAUCUGAUGAGUCCGUGUAAGUAUUUGUCAUUCCAAGCAGGGAGGACGGACAAUAUUGUGAUCUUACAUGGGGAUUCUGGAAAAGGAAAAAGCGACACGACUGCAUUUUCAAAAAGCAAGAGAGGCUAAGGAUAACUAAGGAUGAAAGUAAAGUAGUGGGGACCAUAACUAUUUGGCAUUGCCUCAAAAAGGUCAAGAGAUCCAUCAAUUAGAUUGGGUUUUGGUGGAUUAUGAGUUGAUUCUAGUGCUUUGAAGCAGUGUGAAUUGGAUUCCAAAUAGAAAGCAAAAGAGGUGGAAAAAAGCAUACGUUGGUUAAAUUGAACAUCGACACCUCAUUCCAUCACUCAUCACUUUUGGAACUUGUGCCUAUGUAAGCUAUUUUGCUUUUUCUUAAAGUAUUAGACACAACAUGACCGCUUUAGCGUCCACAUUGGAACUAGCCAUCUUCUUUAAGAUUAGGAUAUCCAUUAAAAAUGACCAUGAACCUACUUUAAAGAUUCACCCACAUAAAGUCACAAUCCCUUUAUCAACUAAAAUUAAUUUUUUGAAAUUCUUUACCAUGGAGACUACGGGAGUCCGGAGCAAAAGUAAGUGACAAUGGAUGUCGACAUCGAACUUUUUCUAGUGGAAAAUAAAGCAUGCUUUUUUCUUUAUUUUUUGGGUACAGUAUUGCCGAAGGGAUAAGGCAGGUUCGUCAAAUGUAUGGCGCUUGGUCAAUUAGCUAUCCCAAGGUGGAUGUCUCCGUCGCUAAGAUUUGCAAAGCCUCAUUGAUAAUGACUCAAAUGGGCAUAGCUAAGACAGUGAACAGUCGAAAAUUAUUUGGUUACCCACGAACUUUUUAGAUGGUUGUACAAUUCCAUAUUAAAAUUAGAGUGUAAAUGUGACUUCUAUUGGUAAGGUAAGGUUUUAAAGAUUAUGGCAUUUUCACUUAAAUAAGUAUGAAAGCAGAGUACGAAGAUAAAGAGGAUGUUUCAUCUUUCAAUUGAAAAUUAAAACUGUCCAAGCACUAGAAAUCUGACCUUCAACAAGUCAGAGUACCACGGCUGGAAACAACUUAAUCCAGAAAUCGCGCAUCAUGGGGACCUCCAAAAGAAGGAAAAAAAGCACGUUAGAAACAAUUGGUGAAAGCGAAUGAUGAACCGACCGAACAACCUCUACAUAUAUGCAUAUAUUUCCAAAGAAUAACCCCGCAUGAAACAAGAAUCAUUUUCCCAGCUAGAACUAGGGAUGGCAAACAAAUAGAGAAGAUUGUGGAGCAGAUAAGAAAGCUCACAAUGAUUUUUCUUUAUGUGAGGAUUGUAGAAUCGAUAUUUCAUGGGAUUUUAAAUAGACGUGUCUACACGUGCAUACCCCUAAAUUACCAACAAAAAAAAAUGCUUACUUUAGGAAAAUGCUAACUAAAUUUGGUAACUUUUUUAUAUACACUUAUUCCUCAGAAACUAGUAGCUAUUAUGCAAAAGGUCCAUAUGACCUUAAUUUCAAAGAGAAUGUCCCACAUGACUUUAAUUAGUCAUAACAAUUUUCUUUUGUUAAUUAUUAGUCAUAAUUUUUUUCAUGUAGUCAUAAUAAAUAUAAGGAUUUAUGAAUAACAUGACAUCAUAAUUUAACAAUUAUGCUUGGCAAACGAGGUUAAACGACUUCAAUUUUUACUUAUGAAGUGAAUUUCUUCUUCUUUUCUCACUUAUAGGGAUGAUUAUGAGGGGCUCUCUUUCAACAAAUCUGUGAAAAAUUGAAGGACGAUUCAUGAAAAGUCAAAACUUAUUUUCAACUAAUGCUCAACAUUAGCUGGGUAGAGGGCUCCAAGUUGGCUCAAGUUAUAUAUGUCAAUAAAUAGAAUCUCAUCAAAAAUUGCCAUUCAAUAUAUAAAUCAAUAACACGGCCAUUUUACAUUUUAGAGCUAUUUCGAUUUGCAUACCAAUUCAAAAGUAAAACCUCAAUUUUUUUCCCAUUCAAUUAGCUUGAUUAUAAUGUUACUUCUCUAUUUUUUAAUAUGAUUUCAUGCCAACACGAGGAGUGGGCUUAGGAAUAGUACCUAAUCAAUCUCUUUGCCUUCUUUGUCCCUAAUCAUUCUUGCUUUGUUUCGCUCUUCCGUUAUUCUCUCUGUCUCUUUGUUUUUGUUUUUGUUUUUUUUUUUUUCUGGGUUCUUCUCCACUAAAAAAGAAAAUCAAAAAGAAAAAUGUAAAAUCGAUGAUACUGUUGAGGAAAAUGGGAAACAUCACAUUAAAUUCAUCUCAAGAAGUAAAAUUAUUGAUAUAAAGGUCUAAUUUGUGGUUAAAGAGCAAGAGCAAAAAAAAAAAAACACAUUAGAAAAAUCUCAUUUAUAUCAUCAUAGUAGGAGGUCCUUAGCAAGACCUUAAAAGGCUAUGACAUUCGGGAAAGACUGCAUAGAAGCGGGGAUCUAGGCCUCGAAAAACAUUCUAGCCCCAUUGCCAGACCCGGCCAUAACCCCUAUGGGGGUAGGGCUGGCAACUCUGAUCCCCGCGAUGCCUUCCCCUCUGAAACACGGAGGCAUGGUAUAGGGAAAUGAGGGGUCUCCCCUGAAAGGGGGAGGCGCCGGCCGGAAACAUCUCCCCUUUUCGGAGGGAGACCCAUCAUUUUCCUGCACCACGCCCCCAUGUUUCAAGGGGAAGGCGUCGCAGGAAUCAGGGCUGCCAGCCCACUCCCGAAGGGGUUGUAGCUGGGUCUGGCAAUGGGGCAAGUAUAUUUAUCAAGGCCUUGAUUCCAGCCUCUAUCCAGUCUUUUCUGGAUGUUAUAGCCUUUUAAAGUCUUGCUAAGGACCUAUGAGCAAGAGCAAAAAAAAAACAUUAGAAAAAUCUCAUUUAUAUCAUCAAAUGAUAAUUUUUUGAUGAUGUUCUACUUGGAAUAUGAGUGCAUCAACCUCGAACAAUCCACGUCUCUGCUGGCUCCAUCAAUUUGUCUUCUUGACUCCUUUGAAGUCAUGAUGUUGUUUUUUCUUGGAUUGCUACAAAAUUUAACAGUUAAUACUUUUGACAUUUCACACAUAAUCAAUGAUGAUAUGGACAUCCAUCUUCAAUCUUCCAUUGCUGCUUUAUUGCACCGAAAGGUGAAAUUCCCAAGACUAAAAGAGAGAGAUUCCUCUGGUGGGCCUUCCGUUCCACCGAAACCCUUGAAAAAUAGUCAGGAGGAUCUUCUAAAGUCGUUGUGAUGAUUUGGUGUAUACAUGCAUAUUCACACACAUUGCGCGAGGCUAUUCCCGCUCCCAAUUUAGCUUAAAAUCACGUCCUUUUAAGAAAAUUCAAUUAUUGAUAGACCUGCCUUUUAUUUAAAAAUAAACAAAUAUGCCUCUUCCAAUUUCUCUCUCAUCGAUUGUCUGGUCUAUUUUCUUAUUUACUACAGACAGUUGAUAAGAGUUUAUGGUUUCAAUCUUGUCAUCUACUCCUUUGAUUUCAAAGUUUUUUUCAUGUAAGAAUUUACCUAAAAAACGUCUUCAACCUAUGAAUCAUGCAAAAAAAAAAAAAAAAAGAGGCUGAUUUAUUUAAAAGAUUGGAGCAUAAGCACGUUUCGAAAUAUCAAAUUACACGUAUGCUUUCAUCGAGCUUUAGCCAUAAUUUUUUCAAUUUAUUAUGACCAAAUCUUCAAUUCUUCGAUCUAUCAUGUUCAAACUUUCAUUAUUUUGUAGAAGAGAAUAUUUCAACAAGUUAAUUUGGUAUAUUUUAUUUACGAACUUAUAAGUUAGUGACUAAUUGGUCAUAGACAAGGAUUUUGAGACAUUUAAAGUUAUUUUUCUUAUUGAUAAUUGGUUUUUCUGAAUUUAUCAUGCUAGUAAAUUUGGGAGAUCAUUGAGUGAGAGUUUCAUUUUGAGCAAUCUCAAUUUUUUUCACACUGCAUCUCUAGAGUUAUUUCAAAGUGGUGGUGCGGCCGUUUGAUAUGAAGAGAUUCAUGGAAAGGUCCCAAGCUUAAUUCAUUAGGAGCAUGUUUUCAAAUUGAAAAGCUUGCCUCGUAUUUUUAGUUUGUUUUUGAGUUUUGAUUUUGUUUGCUUUAUUCCUUAUACCUGUAGCUAGGACUUGAGAUUAUAUUACAUACCCCAUGAAUAGUUCAAGAGCAUAAAUUUUGAUAGUUUAAGAUUGAUGUCUUUCAGAUUUUGCACCGUAUUAUAUAGUUAAGGUUGCUGAUUAUAAUUCUUGAAACUAACAAAUUGUCGAGUGCUGUGAAAUAUACAUACAUACAUAUAUAUAUAUAUGUAUUGUGUGUUCUCUCAUUCUGUGUACUUGUAUUAUGGUCUUUCAUAUCCAUACGUUGCUUGUUAAAAUAUGCAUGCGGGCAAACAAUUCUCUUUACAUUCUUCAAGGAAUAUAUUCAGGGAAUAAUCAAAUCACAACUCUUAGACAUUUAGACAAAUUGUGCAUAGUGAAGUUGAAGAUCCAUCACAUCUUGUUGAAAAAUGAUGACUAAAUUACAUUUACCUUGUUCCUUGCCAAGAUCGAAUUGCAAUCACAAGAAUUUGGUGGUGUUACUUGUAGUUUGAUAAGCCAUGUUUUUGCUCACAUUGUGUUGUUUUUAAUUGGUAGUUAAAUCACGUCUUUUACAAAUGACAAGUAAUUGAAAUUAUGAGUUCCUACGAAUGAUAAGCAUUACGUGACGAAUGAUUUGAUGAUAGCAUUCGGGGCUCUUAGGUUAAACUUUUGUUUUCUAUUACAAUUUGAUUAAAAUUAUUAUUUUAAAGAAAGCAGCCAUGGAUUCUUACUGGAAUCCCAAUCCCCAUGAUUGAACCAUGCAGUCAAAAAUGGGGUCCAUAUGCCAUUAGAAGAAAGCUAUGCACGUUGCUCAUGCUUGCCUGUGGUCAUUCACUCGUGAAAGGGUUAAUAGUAAGAGAGUGAAUAAAACAGCCAAGAAUUUGCAAUAAUUUGACUAGACAUAAAAUAGUGGGAUGUCCUAUCUCCCCCUUGAGUCUACCUUAGUAUUAAUAUUACAAAAGCAUUGAUUAUUCGUCAAUGGCUUAGUAUAAGGAGCAUCAAACUCCCAAAACUUUUCUUACAAAUCUUAGUUAUUAUUAUUAUUAUUUUUUAAAUCAUAACAUUCAAAUAAUUGAAAAAAAAAAGUUAUGACACUCAAGUUUAUGUUUUUUAGAAGCCAUGGUACUCAAAUAAUUGAAAAAAAAAUGUGACCACUUUACAAAAGUCAUGACACUUCCGGUGUUUUUUAGCUAUUCUUUUUAGGAUUUUCGUCCUAUCGUUUUCUCAAUCUUUCUUUCUCAAAAGAAAAACAUUAACAGAUGCUGCCAUCGAGAAAAAUUCGAAAAAUCACAUUAAACUCAUAUCAAGAAGUAAUUGUUGAUUAAAGGGUCUAAGUUAUGGUUAAAAGAGCAAGGACAAAAGACAUUAGAAAAUUUCCAACCAUAUCAUCAUAUGGUAAUUUUUUACAACGUUCUACUUGGACUAUGAGUGCAUCAACCACGGACUAUCCACUUCUCUAGUGGCUCCAUCAAUUAAUCUUUCGACUCCUCUCUAAAGGGAAAGCCAUGAUGGCUUUUUCUUGGAAUGCUACAAAAUUUAAUUGUAAAUACUUUUUGGCCUUCGACGCAUAAUCAAUGAUGAUAUUGAUAUGCAUCUCCUAUCUUCCGCUGACAAUUGCUUCCUUGAACCGAAAGGUAAAAUUAUCAAGACUAAAGCAACAAGAUUCCUCUGGUUGACAAAUAGCUGUUGGGAUGAUUGGUGUGCACACACAUAUUUGGUGGAGCUAAUUAUGCACCCAUUUUACACGUGAUACUUUGCUAGGGUCAUUCCAAAUUUGUCUCUACGUAAUAUUUCCUUAAGAGAACCCAAGGACAAAAUGCUAGAAUAGCCAACCUCUUAUAUUUCCCCUUAUUUCACAUUUUUAGCUUGCCAUCACCUUUCUUUUGUCUCCUUAAUUUUUCCGUUUUCACAUGUAGUAUCUCUCUGUUGGAAAGAGCUUUGAAUUUGAUUAUGCUUGUCACUGUGUAUUUUGGGUGUAAAAUUUCUUUUUUGAGAAAUUAUACUUUUGAUACAAAAUUAUUCACUAAUUCACGUACAAAAUAAACAUGAGAGUCGAUAUCUAUAUAAUUAUGCAAUAACAGUCUCUUCUCUAUGCCCUGCCUCUAAGGUUGACACAUAGAAUUCUAAAUAGCUAGAAAAGACUUCUCCUUAUUUUAAGAACUGGAUUCUCAACGUUCUCCAUUAAAAAAAUGUGCCCACUUAGACUCCACCUAGGCUAAUAUUUUGCAUUACUAACUAGAUAGAUUAUUCAUAUAUCAUGAUGUACUUAUAGGCACUAAUUCCUUAUUAGCUACGUGAGUUAUACUCAAUCUAAUUACAAGGAGAUUGUCUCUCAUGACUUUAAAUUGUUUCUAUUUAGUCAAAAUGUUUUCAAACGGUCAUAAUUCAUAUAUGGGAUUAGGGGUAAAUUGACAUAUCCAACACAACAAUUUUUUAUGGGCAAGUUUGUCAUGUGAAACUAAUUAAGAGAAUUUCAACCAGCUUAAUAUUCAAAACAGAUCAGAGACCAAUAUUAUGCCUAUCUAUCAUAUGUCACUAUUAUUUUUAACGUUAUACUUAGCAUCUCUAUCUUGCACUUAUUGAAUAUUACUAUAUGAUAAUUUUAUGCUAACUUUGUCAUUUUCUUAAGAAAGGGUUCGGAAUAGAAAAUACACUACUCUUUACUAUAUAAAUUAUGCUUACAUAGCCCCAGAAUUGGAGCAAUUGGUUGGGUCAUUAGGGAUUUCCAACUUAGGAACUAGGGAUCGCUAGUUCGAAUCCCACAAACUACAUGCAAACUACUUUGGGUUGUAGUCACCUAAAUAGACCAAAGAUUUGAGUUUAACCGGUUCAUGGAAUUGGCAUGAUAUUUCAUGAGCUUCUAGGUAAAUGGCUCUCCACACUCCUACCCCUAUAUUACACACGCGUGUGCACACACAGAUUCACUUUAGGAGAAUGCUAACUUUACAUGGUAUGGCACUUACUUUAGGAGAAUGCUAAUUUUACAUGGGAUUUUUUAUAUGCACUUAUUCCUCAUAAACUAGGUAAUCAUUAUGCAUAAGAUCUAUGUCAACUUAAUUGCAAGGAGAACAUUCCUCAUGACUUUGAGGAAUAUUACCCAUCGAUCCUAAACAUAUUGUACAAAUGCCAAUUUAGUUCUAAACUUUUCGAUUUUACCAAUUUAGAGAUAAACAUUUGCACAAAAUUCCAAUAUAGUCCUUUUGGCCAAUUUCUGUUGUUGAAAUGGUUGUGUUACUUAGAAUUGUCAGUGAUUACUGGACUGCCAAAUCAAUAAUUUCAGGCAAAAAUUCAUCAAAAGGGUUUUCUUGGAAUUUUCCGUAAAUGUGUAAAACUAAAUUGACAAAAAAAAAAUUGAAAUGAUUUAAACUGAAUUAGCAUAUGUAUAAUAGAUUUUGGGACUGCUUAGAUAAUUUUCCCCAUGACUUUAAUUAGUCAUAAUAUUUUUUUUUAUAAAUUAGUCAUAACCUCCUUAAAUAGGCAAUACAAAUAUAAGGUUUAUGAGGUAAUUUGAUAUUCUAAUCUAACAAUUAUGGGUGAGUUUGAGAAAAGGAGCGAGGAUGUUAAGCAGCCACCCGGUGUUCCGGUUGAGCAAGCCAGCGAAGAAGACGCGUGAGUUUACUUUUUGCUUUUGUCCGAGUAUACGAGUAGUUAAAGAAAAUCAAUGUCGGAAUGCACUCAUUCGAGGAGCUAUGCGUAAUGACUCAGCAAGUUGCAUAUAAAGGAAACGCCUUCAUAGUUAGUGAUAUAUCCCCUUUCAACGAGAUUCACGUGGCACUCGGCAUAACAAUUUGUCAUUGUCCGAUAUGAUUGUCAUGAAAUGGGAAUACGCAAGAGUGAUUUUGAAAAAAUUCCACGAGUUCCAUAGUCACUUUGGUCGACAUCUAGUUCUAUUUGCUUACGCUUAAAUAUAUAUAUAAAAAAAAAAUUCUGCAUUUUGCUCUCCCUUGAGAAAAUUAAAAAUGGGGAAAAAUAGGUUUCAUAAAUUAUGAAAAACCAUAUAAUAACUCUACUUGUAAAUAAAUGUAUAUUUUUGAAAAUUUUAAAAAUCAACAUUUUAAAAAUAAAUUUGAAAAGGAAAAGCUCCAGACAGAACCAAACAUUUGGGAAGAAAAAAAAAGAAAAGAGGGUUUUUUUUUGGGGAGGUGGGGGGGAUGCCGGAGACUUCAAUAUGAAUGAGAGCCCACGGAGCAAAGUUAAUCCUGGCUGGCAAUAAUUUUGCAUGUUGAUUUUGUCAUGUAAAGAGUAGCAAUGGUCGCUAUGAUUUUGCGUUUUAAUAUUAUCAUCUAAAGAGUAGUAGUGUUCAAGAUAGUAAAUUAGUUUAAAAUGUUAAGAGGAUAGCAAAAAUUUAAUUUCCUCAGAAGUUCUAAUCUAACAAUUACAACUGCAGUUAUAUCUAACCUAACAAUCAUAAUUGGCUUUAUAAUCUAACAAUCAGCCUAAUUAUUAUGUUAAUUCUAAAUUUUUAACGUGAUUUCAUGGACCAGCACAAUGAGCUGGGAAGCACUAUUACCUAACCAAUGUUUGCCCAUUGGACGUGGAGGAAAAACUAGAUGCUUAAAUUAUGUUUGUCGAAAGCGGUGAAGGAAAGGAUGGAUAUCUAAUCAAUGUUUGUCCAUUGGCAUUGGAGGAAAGGAUGGUGAUUUCGACAUUGGUGUUGGUGACCUGCUCCAUGUAUUAAUAGAUUAUUUAUUAGAUUACCAUCAUUGUCUUGAUUGACGCGACCGACAACAAUCGUUUUUAAGUUUUUUUUACUUUUGGCCGGUGGAGGCUCUAAGGACUUGGAACCCUUUGCUCCCAACUUUUUAGCUUCCGAAGGAAUUGAGUGGAGUUUAUUAAAAGUCUUAACUGAGGUUAGAUUACCGAGAUCCAUAGUCCAUACACAUCCCAUCUUUCUUCCUCGUGAUUUGGGCCUUUGUUAAGAUUUUAAAUCAUUGGAACACUAGUAGUAACAUCUCAAUCGGUGUUGAUCAAAUAUUCCAGCAAAAAGUUACCAUGUCUCUUUCUCCAUUGAUUGCUCUUUGACGCCCCCCCUUCCUUCAUCUUUUCUCGCACUCGAAUUUCUUCGCCUUUUCCUCUUUCAUCAUUCUUGCUCUGUUUCACUUUUUCUUCUCCUUGCUAUGGCCCUACUCCGCCUCUUUUUCUGAAGUAUCUACGACUCUUUUUCAUCGUUCUCUCUCUCCCUCUCUUUUUCUCUCAACUUUUCCUUUUGAGGGGUUUUUAUCCGAACGUUUUCUCGCUCUUUCUUUUUUGGAAAAAAAAAAUCAAAGAAAAUGUCAGAUUGAUGCCGCUGUUGAGAAAAAUGGAAAAUUAUAUUAAACUCAAAUCAAUAAAUAAUUAUUGAUACAAAUGUUAAGAGUGCGUAACAAAAGUUUAAUCCCUUUAAUCGGAGAGGUUAUCAAGAGAAAGCUCAAGUUUGAGCUCAUUAACAUAUUCAAUUGACCCAUCUUAACUAAAAAAAAUGAGCUAAAAAGUUAUUGAUCAAUUAUGAUAUAUUAAUUGUUUAAUACGACAUCAAUUCUCCAUUGUGAAACUUUUCUAACCCAACUCAUACAUUCAUCUUAACAUUCGCCUCUCGCGUGUUGGCUUAGUAUUAUGCAUGCUUUCCCUUAAUUCAAGUAUCAUUCUCCAUUUACAUGACUCAAUUAGAAUCUCUGCUUUGGUGCGUGUGCUAACAAAAAUAACAAUAACGCCCAUCUUCAUCCCUAGUCUCUUUCUCCAAACCGAAUCAUGAAGGUUACCAUCAAGAUCACAUUUCUACACAACAACGCCCACCUUCAUUCCAAGUCUCUUUUGCUAGAUCGAACUAUGAAGGUUGCCCAAAAACUGCGUUGAUCACGAGAUUCCUUUCCUCAGAUAUUCUCCAAACAUUGGUAUACAUUGGGAUUGGCCAUUAGCUAUCAAUCAUCGGCUCUGGCAUCAUUUCUUAGGAGUGUCUAGUAGAAAUUUGAUACCGUUAACCAGAGAGAUCGCCAAAGAAAAGCCCAUGUUCGAGCUGGCCAAUAUGUUUUAUUGAAGCCAAGUUCACUCAAAAACUAGGAUAUAUUAAUUGCUGCAUACCAUACCAAUUAUCCGGUAUAAGACUUUCUAACAUAAGUCACGUGUAUAUCUCAAUAAGAAGGAUCUAACUAAUGGUUAAAAGAGUGAGAACGGAGAGAUAUUAGACAAACCCCAACCACAUCAUCAUAUGGCAAUUUUUUAUAACGUUCCACGCGGAGUAUGAAUGUGUCUACCUCAAAUCAUUCAUUUCUGUAGUGGUUCCAUCAAUUUGUCAUUUGACUCCAUUUUUUAGUGGAAGUCAUACUGAGGUUUUCUUGGAUGCUACAAACUUUAACAGUAAAUGCUUUUAGCCUCUAGCGCAUGAUCAAUGUUGAUAUUGAUAUGCAACUCCAAUUUUCCAACGAGAAUUGCUUCAUCAAAUGACUAGUGUGGCUGGUAAAAAAAAAAAGUGACUAGUGUGGGAUGUUAACAAAGAAGAGUUCCGCUAUAGCGUAACUGCACUAUCCUUUCCAAUAGCGACGGCGCAAAUGGGACCACGAGUUCUAUUAUGCUGGUAAUGCGCAACCGGAUUACAACUUUAAAAUGGGAAAUCUUUACGAGUAUCCUUAAAAUUUGUAUCCCUUUCUGAAUGAAAUGUCAGUCAAAAUGCCCUCCCUCCAAAUUGAGCACCAAGUAAAGUCAUCAAUCAUUUCUUUUCGUUUCUCUUGAAAGCAUAAAACAUUCAAUAUUAAUAUUAGUGUGCAACUAGCUUAUAACCGCACACAAUCUUGUCAUAACUAUAUACGUAUGUAUGUAUGCAAGCACACAUGAAUAUGUCUAAAAGUAUAUGCUUUUAAUUACCUCUUAUUUAGUUAGAUGUACAUCAUUAUCACAAAAAACUUUUUUUUUUCAAAGAAUUGGCAACCGGAUGAGUUUUGAAAUGACUUGCAUUUGCACUUCUGCGUUCUCUUUCAAAUGUUUUUUUUUUAAACUUUAUUAACAAAGAAAAAGCUUCACCACGUAUUGUUGCAACUGUUUCUUCCUACUUCCUCGUUAAUUGAAGAAUUAUUGUGUACAGCGGACUUAAAUAACAACGGCUCUAUACUUGGUUACCACGAAAUACUAUACAGCCUAUUAACAUAUCGUAAAAUAAAAAUAAAAAUCACCUUUAACCUCUUUCGGUUAAUUAAUCUAGUAAAAAUAAAAUGGGGGAUAUCCAAUCAUUGCAAAAUAACGUAAUAUAAGGUGUUGACUUGCAUAUUGAUUUUUUCUUUUUUGAGAAACCCCUUUUCAGAUAGGUGAAGUUCAUAUUAAAGGUAAAGUGAUUGAUGAAAAUAAUGCCAAUACCAAAACGAGACCAAAAAUAUGAUAGAGAAGGACUUUUAACACCAAAAGAAAUGGAAGUUGGGUUGUAUCGAAUAAGUAUGUAGCUUUUUUCUUUUUUUCACUAAACAGAGAGGAGAAUCAAAGUACCUAUCAUGGGCAGGGGUGUGGAGUUUAACUCUUAUAAGGAGGCUUAUGAAUUUUAUAACAAUUAUGAUAAAUAAGUAAGAUUUUGUAGUAGAGUUUCAAAAUUGUAGAAAAGGAAGAGUAGAGAGGAAAAGUGAGGCACAGUUUUUUGGGGCUAGCUCCAAAAAAAUAAAGCACCAACUUUAGUUUAAGAGACAAAUCUGACCGAAACUUUUUUUUUUUUUUUUGUCUUGUAAAAAAGCACAAAUUUUAGGUUAAGGGACAAAUCCAGCCUAAACUGUUUUUUUUGUCUCGUAAAAAAAUGUCAAUUUUCGGUUAAGUGACAAUUCUAGCUCAAGUUUUUUUUUUUCUCGUAAAAAAUUACAAACUUUCACCAUUAUUCAACUUUCUAUUUGAAGUUAACCUUGUUUCAAGAAAAAAAGGUUCUAGCCAUGAGCUUGGCGGAUCUUGUUCAUGGGGUCUCUCGAUGGGCGGUGGUCCAUAGCUUCAUUUUAAGACAAAAUGACAAAGUCUAGCCAGACUAAUUCAAUUUAGAGAUUUUUUGACUUGCUAGUGAAGUGUAGGAGAUGAUGAAUAAUUUACCGUUAUUCUCCAAGCUAUGGCUCAAACAAGAAGAUAAUGAAUAGUGUUUUAAAUCCGGCCAGCAAGUGCACAUGGAUUUAUCACUAAAAACAAUCAAUGGAUCUAAAUUAAAGGGGGCUAAAUUUAGGAUUUAAGUGAAAACUAGUGAUUUUUUUUAGACAAAAAAAGUUAGGAUCAUAAUUGUCACUCAUCCCAAAGUUAGUGUUCUUUAUGUGACAAAAAAAAAAGUUUGAGCCAAAUUUGUCACUUGACUUAAAAUUAGUGCUUUUUUACGAGACAAAAAAUAGUUUGGUUUAGAUUUGUUCAUUAACCUAAAGUUUGUGCUUAUUUUUGGAAUUAGCCUCAGUUUUUUUGCUGCAUUUGUCAAAGGCUCAAGAAAAAAAAAAUGGGUCAGUUAAGUCGAUUCAUUUGAAAAGGUUAGAAUUCAAUAUAUUUUUUUUAAUUACUCAAGCACAAAGAAUGAGAAGCCCCAAAAAUGUACAAAAAUAUCUUUAUUAGUCUAAAAACAACGGUUCUGGUGUUUUUCUUUUCUAUUUUAGAAAUAUAAGUCAUAUUUAUAAUAAAAUUAAUAAUCUCUUUUUAGUGAUAAUUUUCGUACUUGUGAUUCUUAUAUUGUAGCAUUCAAUUUCCUUCAAGUCAUUUUUCCCUUGCUUUCGUAAGGAUGGAAAUUCAAGAAAUUAAUUGGUGUUUAGUUGAGGCCUUAAUCAAGGUUAGGUUAUAGACAAGAAAAUCGAACAUGCACUCUAUUUUAGCUAAAUUUCCAUAUUGGUUAUGUCCAUAUUUUUAACCCACCAAUCAAAGAAUUGGUAAGGAUGGAAAUAAAUAAACUCUGACUUAAUAUAAACUCGCAUACAUUAAGGAAGCCAUUGCUCUCAAUUAACAAAGAAAUCCAAUGAGAUGUAAAUACUGAAUCAUUCCAAAGCAUGAGAAGAAAAUGUAACCUUAUCACUGCUGCGUCAAAUAAAUUUGUCCUUGUCUCUUUCACUUUUCCCAACCUAUAACAAUUGAAACGAGUAAUCUAAUAUCCGCCAACCUUUGUAUCACUUAUAUUAUGUUUGUGUAUAUGGGGCAGCGCACUAUCAUUUAGAUAUAGGAAAUGUGUGAUUACCUCUAUUUAAAAUCAAUUAAAUGGGAUUCCUAUCCAUGUCAAUAGUAUGCGAAUCAACCACCAAAAGAAGCAAAUCCAGACCAUGUAACUAGAGACAAUUUUUUUUUUUUUAAGAACUUCUGCGGAAUGCAAAAUACACUUGUACUUUACAAGAAAAAAAAUUAUGCUUACUUAACAUCACCAUCUUGCAAUUAUCAGACAUCAAUAAUAUUAUAAUUUUAUGUUAACACAGUCAUUUUCAAAAUGAUAUAGAAUGCAAAAUACACUCAUUCUUUAGAAUAAAAAGAAAAAAAAAAACAUGCUUACUAAAUCCCAGGAGUGACAUAGCUGAUUGGGAUGCUAGGGGAUUUCCAACUCAGGAAUAGGAGGUUGCUUGUUAGGAUCCCACAAACUGCUUUAGGUUUGAGCCAACUACACAGGCCAAAGCCCUGAGCUUAACCAAUUCAUAAAGCCUACAGGAUAUUUCAUAGAAUUAUGGGUAGAGAGGUCUCCAUACACAUGCCCCCAUAUCAUAAGAAAAAUUAUAUGCUUACAUUAAGAGUAUCCCAAAUUUAUAUGGUACUCUUUUUAUAUGCACUUAUUUCUCAUAAACUAGGUAGUUAUUAUGCAAAAGGUCCUGAUCAUAUUAAUUACAAAUAGAACUUCCCUCAUGACUUUAAUUAGUCAUCACAUUUUUUUGUUAAAAAAUUAGUCAUAAUAGUUAUAAAUAUAUGGACUUAGGCCUAAUUUGAAAUUCUAAUCUACCAAUUAUGUUGGUAAAAAGGAAACAACUUCAAUUUUUUUUUUCUUUAAAACAGAGUUCUUUUUCCCUUAAACGGAUGAUUCAAGGGGCUUUCUGUCAACAAAUAUGUGAAAAUUUUGAAUACUACAUAAAGACUCAAGAAUUAUUUUCAUCCAAUGGGCAAUAUCAAUUAGAUAUGAGGGUCUAAAUUAGCCCAAGUCUAUUUUGUCAAUACGUAGAAAACUUACAAAAAAUUGCAAUUCAACUUAUAAGUGAAUAUCAAUAAUAUAAUAAUUUUACAUUAAAAUUGUCAGUUCUUAAAAAUGAUAGAUAAUACAAAAUAUACUUAAUCUUUACAAUAAAAAUUUAUGCCUACUUAACCCCAGGAUUGGUUCAGCUAGUUGGGAUGUUAUGGGAUUUUCAGCUCAAGAACUGAAGAUCCAUUAGAACCCCACAAAUUGCGAGCAAACUACUCUAAGUUACAGCCUCUUACAUAGGUCAAAAGCCUAAGCUUAACUGAUUCAAGGAUUAUAUGAUAUUUUCUAGGCUUCUAAAUAGAUAGGUUUCUAUGCCUAUGCACUUAGAUUAUUAAAAGAAAAUGCUUACUUUGGGAGGAUGCUAAUUUUAUAUGAGAAAUUUUUCAUGUGCACUUAUUCCUCAUAAACUAGGUAGUUUUUAUGAGAAAAGGUCGUUAUCAACUUAAUUACAAAGAAUAUGUCCCUCAUCAUUUUAAAUAGUUAUAACCUUUUUUUUUGUUAGACAUUAGUCAUGGUUGGCAAAACAAUUAAACAACUUCAAUUUUUUUUCCUAUGAACUGAGGUUUUUUAUUUUAUUAUUAUUAUAAAUUUAAGACAUGAUUUGAGGGGCUUUCUGUCAGCAAAUUUAUGAAAAUUUGAAAGAUAACACAUGAAAUUAAGACUCAUUUUCAACUAAUGUUCAACAUCAAUUAGAUAUUAUGGUCUAAGUCAGCCCGAUUCUAAUAUGUCAUUAAGUAGAACAUUAUCAAAAAUUGAUCUUCAAUAUAUAAAUCAAUAACGCAGCCGGUGAAUCCAUUUUUGUGUUUAGCCGUGGAGGAAAGGAUGGUCCCUAAUGAAUGUCCAUGAGCGGCGGAGGAAAGGAUGGAGACAUAGACGUUGGUGUGGUGGCCGGUCAAUUAAUUAAAAAAUCAUCCAUUUCUCUUUAUAUAAAUGUUUUUAAAAAUAUAUAUAUAGUUCAGCCAUUUCUUUAUAUUGCUCGAUUGUUUCAUUCAUAGUUCAUUGCCUGACUGACAAGAGGACUAUGCAAGAGUCUUGGCAGUUGGGUAUUCCUUCCCAGUAAAAAUUAAUUCAUAAAAUGACAAAUAAAUUCUUAUUAAUUAUUGAUAUGACGAGUGAUGACUCUUGCAGCCUCUCAUAUCUCUUUAAAAAUAAUCUUAUAAAUGAACCAAAUGUCUGAGGAUUAGCCGACAUCCAAUAUCAUCAAUCAUGUUAGAAACUAUCAUCGAUAAAUUGUAUUAUACAUUUGGCUGAACAAAAUCGUGUUCUAUAAUUAAAAUACUAUUUUUGUACAAUCUUUGUUGGAACAUUUAUGGUACAGAAAAUUAUAUAAAAACUGCCGAUUAGUAAGGAUUUACACAUUGAAUGAUAUAUUUCCCUCUACUUUUUUGUAUGGUUGCCAGUAUAGAAAGUAAAGUUUAUUUAAGUAUCUCAGUUGGCUAAAUUCUCAUCAUGAAAGCACAAGGUCAUCAUAAUGUUUCGUGUGUUACUUGACUUUCACUGUUAUAAUGACUAAAAUGCUUAGUAGCCUGCAACAACUAAUUUCAUAUAUGUAUAUGUGUAGGCUAACCUCUUCCUGUGGAAGGUUAUAAAAGUGAAAAAAAAUUAGGGUUAUAAAUUAUCAAAAGCCACAUGACUUUAUUUGUCAAUAAUUGUAUAUUUUUGAAUAUUUUAGAACCGAUUUGUGAUAAUUGCAAUAUUUAAAAAAAACAUUAAAUGUAAAAUACUCCAAACAGACCCAAGCAUUUGAAAGAAAGGGGGGAAACUUCAAUAGGAACAAGAGAGACGCAAAAUAAUGUUAGCGGUGACUCGGGAUCGUUCCCCGUAUUAAUUUUAUCUUGGAAAGAGUAGCACUACUCAAGAAAAUAAAUUGAUUUAAAAUGUUAAUAAAGAAUGGCAAAAGUUUAAUUUACUUAGAAGUUUUGAUCUACAAUUCCAAUUCAAGUUACGUCUAAGGUAACAAUUACAAUUGACAUUAUAAUCUAACAAUUUGCUUAAUUACAAUGUUACUUCUGCAUUUUAAAUAUGAUUUCAUUGAUUCGCACAAGGAGCGACUUUAGGACUAGUACUUGAUCAAUGUUUGUCCAUUAAUGGUGGAGCUAAAGGAUGCGGAAACUUACCCAUUGGUGAUGAUGAUUGGUCAAGUUAAGAAACAAGAAAACCAUUUCUAUUACCAUAUUCAACUUUUAAUCAAAAAGUAUUGGGGGACACUGAAAGGAGAUAUCACCCAUGAUAGUAGUAAUAAUUUAUUUGCUUAUUUUGCUAGACUCACUAUGGGUUGAAAAUGAGUCUGGUGCAGACCCACGUAGGCUCACGUGGAAUUGGUGAUGCUUUUUUCAUAUCAUUUCAACUGGCUUAAAAAUUUCAAGUGUCGCACCAAAAUUUUGAUAAUGGGUUUCAGAUACAUACUGCCACCUCUAGAUGAAACUACAUGUCUUGUGGGUUUUGAUCCGUCCUCGUCCUUUUGUUCUCUUUAUUAAUUACAUUUGCUAUAGCGAAGAGUGACAAACUACAUAAAGUACCUAUUAUACAUGAGUGAUGAUUCAAAUCCAAUCAUUUUAAUAAUUGCGUUUUGAUCGAAGGUGUUAUAUACGAUUCGGAUUCUAAUCGUCACUCCAUGUUGAUUCACAAAAGUGCCCACAUACAAAUAUUGAUGAAAAUAUUAAUAUUAUGAACAAGAUUAAGGGAUAAUAUUACGAAAAAUCUUAAACUGAUACACAUGCGACAAAUUUACUUCGCAUUAAUUUUUUUAUCACAAAAAACCCCCAAACUGAUUCAAUUAUGAUAAAUUUAUUACAAACUAAUUUUUUAACCAUGAAAAAUCUCUAACUAGUACACAUGUGAUAAAUUUACUCAAAACUAAUUUUUUUACCGUCAAAAACCAUAAAUUGAUACAUUUAUGACAAAUAUACCCCCGUUAAAUUAUAUUAAUACUAGAAAAAAUUACAAAACCGAUACACUGUGACAAAUAGAGAGUAAAAUCUCAAAUUGGUAUACUUGCCAACUACCACAUGUCAUCUAAAUCAACAAUCUAACUUGAAAAUUUAACGAAAACUAACAGAUAGUAAAUUUCUCAUAGAUUUAUCAAUUCAGAGUUUUUUAUAGUUAAAAGAUUAUUUUUUUGUAAAUUUAUUAUAAGUGUACAGAUUUAAGAUUUUUUGUAGUCAAAAAAUUAAUUUGUGAUUAAUUUAUCAUGCGUACCAUAUUAAAGAUGAUAUUUGUCAAGUGCAUGGGUUGGUGUGGCCUCUCCUUAUCAAGUGGGCGCCAUUUAUUUUGCUAUUUGUUGCUCUUUCUUAAUUACAUUUUAUUAUAUCAAUCUGACACGGUAUAAAGUAUUCAUAUAAUUCUAGUCAAAUUAUUUUGUUACUUUAGAAGUUGGUAAUCAUUUGUAUUUUAUUUUUUUAAUCCACUUCAAUGAGCGUGCAAUUCAAAUAAUGCAAAGAAAUCAAUUUACUCCACAAUUGUGACGCAACGAACAACUGCCGUAAUUAAGGUACAUAUUGGUGUUUAGUUAUGGCCUCAACUAAGAUUAGAUUUUUCUAAGAUCUAAAGUCUGUUGUCCACGUGACUAGUGGAUCAUGCAUGAGUCUUGUGAGUUGGGUUUUCCUUCCCAAUGAAAAACUACUUCACAAAAUGAUAUAUGAACUCAUAUUUUUUAUUGAUAUAAAAAGGAAUGACUCUUGCAGCUUCUCAUAUAUUUUCAAAAAUCAAUUUUAUAAAAUGAACCGUGUAUCAUCAAUCAUUUUAGAAUUAUCAUCCACAGAUUGUAUCGUUGUUUAACUCAUAAAUGGAUUCCAACCUGAGUAGUGAACUAUCUUCAACCAAAAGAUAUAUCUUUUAUUUUUAUGAAAGGGGUUCAGUGGCGAUUUUAAACAUGAGUUGCAAUUGGCAUGAUAAUGAAGAUGAACAACGAAUUUAAAGGUAAAAGGUGAUAGUAAAUGUUGGAAAUUAACAUGACAUUAAAACUGAUAAAAGUACAUCAAAAAAUAUUCGGAAUCAUGAUGAUCCUUGCAAUAAUUAUAUGUUGCCAUUUUAUACUCCGCCAAUCAUAACCGCUUAUUAAGACUUAACCAUACUAGAUGCAGUUGUAACUGCAUUCCCGAGAUUUUAGGACUCCUAUCUACACAUCGAUCCUAUCCACAAGUUGUUACGACUCUUUAAGUGUCACUAGGUUAACCAUUGCUUGGUGCCCUUAUAUUUAGUCGACAUUUUCACUAUCUCCUUUCUUCUUAGUUGAUAAUUGUCGACCAGUCAUCGUGGUACAUCGACAAUGGUAUCUCUCAAUCGUCAAUAAUUACUGUCCAUUGUCAUUGAUAUGUGCUUCUAUUGUCCUUAACUUACCAAAAACCAUAUAAGUUGUCACAAACUAUAUACCCACUUAUAUCAACAUUAUGUCAUUCACAAAAACUUUAUCAUUUUUCAGUGUAAACAAUUAUACAUCUAGCUAAAGAAAAUCUAAUUAAGCGACUAUCAUGUGAUUUAAAUACAAUCUUUAUUCUAACAAUUAUGGUACAACAAAUUACAUAAAAUGUACAACCAAUCAUAUGGGAUUUACACAUUGAAUGAUAUGCUCCUGGCUACUUAUUUGUGUGGUUGCCAAUUUAGAAAGUUAACUUUACAUGAGUAUAUCCGUUGGCUAAAUUCUCAACAUGAAAGCACAAGGUCAUGGACUCAAUUUUGUAUUGCAUGCUACUCAACUUUCACUACUAUAAUGACUAAAAUGCUUAGUAUCCUGCAACAACUAAGUUCAUUUACAUAUUUACAUAAGCCAAACUCUCGUCAUGGAAGGUUGUAGACCUAUCAUGCAUUGCAUGUUGUGAUGCUACUUGACUUAUGCACCAUAUUUAUAGUGUCAUUAAUAAUUAUGUAUUUAGUCAUAUUUACUUAUGAAAAUACAUACCUGCGUAAUAUAACCCUCUUUAUAAUUUUCAUUCUAUAGAAAUUUUGUAACAAGGGAUAGUUUUUUCUCCUAUUGAUUUGCUAUCAGUUGUUUCUUUUACUUUUUAAAAUUUAUUGCAAAGCAUGUACUGUAAUUUCGUUUUUAUGAUGAUAGAUAAUUUUUUGAAUUCUCUAAUAUCAUAUAUUUGUCAAAUAUAGACAAUCAUGGACUAAAAGAUGUUUCUACAUUAAGCAUCUUAUUUAUCACAUACAUGAUAAAUAUUUAUAUUGUCGAUUUGUUAUAUAUAUUGACUAUCACAUCACGUAAUUUUUCUAAAAGUUUGUCAAUGAUAUACCUGAAGAAGGGGUGCCCAACGUCGAACGAGCGAUCAAAAAAGAUUCCGAAGCAUCUUCAUAGCACGACCCAGCAAUCAUGUUCUUUGGGGGUCCUCAGGCUAUAAAGCCGAUUUCCUUCCUUUUGGUCCGUCUGUAAAAGGCAACCAUACAUUUAUUUAAUUAUAAAAUUCGAAAGUUACUGUACACUUAGUUAUAUCUUAUUUUUGAAAUAUCUAAAGUCACGUAGUGAAUCCUAUAUAUAUAAAGUGGGUAUCCAUGCAUUAUUGAACUCCUUCGAGAGCUUGUCAAAAUUUGUAAAUCAAAAUAUUAACAGGGAUAUGUUAAAGUGGUCUUCAAAACCAAUUUGUUAAAGUGCAAAAUAGAACUGAUAUUCAAAUAAACAACAUAUGUUUAGGAAUUUGGGAUUUGUUAAAGUGACCAUUGAUAUCAAAUUGUUGAAUAAAGUUUACACGUGAUUGUGCUGGCUCAACUCUCAAGAGAGUUUUACCAUAUAUAUAUAUAGAGAUAUAUAUAUACAUAUAUAUAGAUGCUUUUCUAGUCAAAUCAAUUUAUUAAAACGACUCAAUUUGUCUACCAUUUAAAUACAAUGAGGAAAAACACAUUAAUUUAUCCAGGUCAAUCACAUGUUUUGAACAUUACCAGUCUCACAUAUGACUGAAAUAAUUUGUUAGUGAGAUUUGGUAAGUCCAAGCAAAAAGGAUUUUACCAUCCUUUAGGAAAGAGAUAUUAUCCGGUAGAGAGUAUUACUGUACUGCAUAUUAGUCGGGAAAAAGUUGUUUUCCGGGACAUUUUUCCUGACAUUCAAAGCUUACCGAAGGCUAGCUAAAAAAAAAAAAAAAAGCUUACCGAAUUACCAUCGGACAAUCCUCUAAAAAAAAAACCUUUAGGAGGACUUAUUCUGAGAAAGAAUAUAGAUGCCGUUUUCAUGUAUUUUUCUGAAGUACUCUGGAAGUUCCGAGGGACCACUUGUGCUUUUCUGCCUUGGCCAUAUGGUCCGCAUUAAAAAUUGAGUUGAUGGCAUACUGUAAAGUCACGUGGGUGCGGCCAGUCCUUGUCCAUUCAUUUUCUUAAAUCAUUACCUUUUAUUAUAUCAGUGCUGACACACUGUUUAAGUCGACUCAUUUGUUUACUGCUACUUGGACAGCUGAUGAUCAUCUCUUUCUUCCUCGAUUCAUCGCUAUUCGACGCUCCCCUUCCUUCGUCCUUCUUUCGCGCUCGAAUCUCUUCGCCUUGUUUGUCUCUCGCUUUGUUUCACUCUUUCUUCUCUUCAGCACAAUCAUUCUUCCUAUUCCUCCUCUUCUUCAGUAUCUUCUCCUUCUUUUCAUCAUUCUCUCUCUGUGUCUCUCUUUCUUUCUUGGGAAAAAAAAAUCAAAGAAAAAAUGUCGGUCGAUUCUGUCGUUUCUAUUGCGUAUGAUGUCUUCAAGAGCUAUGUAGUUGAUCCCGUCAAGCGUCGAUUCAGAUACGUGAUCUCCUCCAAGAAUUUCGCCGACGAUCUUCGGGUGGAAGUCCGGAACCUGGAGAACGAGGCUCAGAGGGUCCACAUUUUGGCAGAAGUGGCCCGAAACAACCUUCGGAAUUUCUAUGGUUACUUCCCAGAGUGGCAGCAAAGUACUGACAAGGCCUUGGAGGAGGCGGGAGACCUGUUGGGCGACAUGGGUGAGGCGAGCAAGACUUGCUGCCACGGGACUCUUCCCGACGCCAAAUGUCGCUAUCAGUUCAGCAGGAAGGCCGAGGACAAGAUCAAGGUCAUUAAGCAACUCGCUCAAAAAGGCAGCGGAUUCAAGGAAUUGAACGACAUCUCCUUCACUGAUCCUGCUCCGGGAAAUGUCACUGCUACGAAUCCAGCCAGGAGAGAAGGCGAAGAAUUCGUCCAGCCGACCCCUGCAACGGCCUCCGCUUCUUCUGCCUCGACGUCAAAUGAGCUUAGUAAGGAUGGCGUCUUCGAAUCCAGAACUGCGAUCAUAAGGGACGUAAUGGGCGCUCUUGCCGAUAACAGCAAUAGUGUGGUCGGGGUUCACGGGAUGGGUGGGGUCGGCAAGUCCACCCUUUUGGACGACGUGGUAAGCAGAAUAAGAGAAGAGAAGCGGUUCGAUCUGGUCGCCAAGGCCGACGUGUCACAAAAUCCUGACAUCAAGAGAAUUCAAAGUGUGAUUGCCCAUGCGUUGGGCCUGGACAUGAAAGAUUAUGAGUAUGAGAGCAUGCGAGCGGAUCGUCUGCGCGAGAGGUUGGGAAAUGAGGAAAAGAAGGUCCUCAUAAUACUGGACAACCUAUGGAAAGGGCUUGACUUGAAAUCUGUUGGAAUUCCUUGCGGGCAUGACAACAAAGUCAUGGGAUGCAAGUUGUUAUUGACGUCGAGAGACCGAAAUGUUUUGCAAAGGGAAAUGGGCUGCGACAAGGACUUCUUUCUUGAUAGGCUGGAGGAGAAAGAGGCAAAUAUAUUGUUUGAGAGGAUGGUGGGAGAUAAAGUUCAUAAUGAUGAGUUCAGACCCAUGGUGAAUGAAGCACUCCGCAAAUGUGCAGGUUUGCCUUUGUUAAUUGUCACAAUGGCGAAACAUUUGAAAUACGGUCGUUUGCCUGAAUGGAGGAAUGCUCUAAAUCAAAUUGAGCGGUGUUCAAACAAAGGGUUAAGUGCAGCGAUCAAUACGAUGUUGCAAUUAAGUUAUGAUCAUUUAGAAAGCGAGGAAGCGAAAAAUUUGUUACAACUCUGUGUUGCUGUUGACGUCUCUAAUCCCUCUGUUGAAGACUUGGUGAGGUAUGGCUAUGGUUUAGGGAUAUUUCAAAGAGAUAGUAGCAUAAAAGAAGCUAGAGAUGAAGUGAGUACACUCAUCCACACUCUUCAAGCCUCCUCCCUUCUGUUGGACAAUAGAGAUGACAAUGCUUUCAAGAUACAUGACUUGGUUCGUGACUUUGUUGCUCAGUUCAUUUUAAAAGAUCGGCCUCUUCUCGUGUUGGAAAAUGAAGAAAUGUUGGCAACACAAUUGUGGAGGGAGAGGCUCGAAAGUUGUAUGGCGAUAUGCUUUCCCUAUAUUGACAUGAAGGGCCUUCCCAAAGAAUUAGAUUGCCCCGAAUUGCACAUCUUUUUGCUUUUCGCCCGUAGUGGAUUUCUUGAGGUUCAAGAUUCAUAUUUCAACUCUAUGAGGAAACUUACAGUCCUAGAUCUUUCCGGAAUACAUCUCACUCAUUCACCAACCCCAUUGCAAUUCUUGGAGAACUUACAUACUCUAUGUCUUAGUAGUUGUUCACUAGAGGAUGUGGCCAUUCUCGGCAAGCUGAAAGGCCUUCAAAUUCUCAGCUUUGUGUACUCGAGAGUUGAACGAUUGCCAAAAGAAAUUGGGCAACUAGUAGAGCUGAGGUUGUUGGACUUGAACUAUUGUUCACAUCUUCAGAUAAUUGAACCGGGUGUGCUUGGAAGAUUGAUCAAAUUGGAGGAGUUGUAUAUGGAGAAUAGUUUUGAUCAAUGGAAUCCUGUGGAGCAAACUCAACCAACUAAUGCGAGUUUGAUUGAGUUGAAUCACCUGAAGAAUCUUUGCAUUCUACAUGUCUCCAUUCCCAAUCCAAGUGUGCUCCCUGAGGACCUAGAUGUCAAGAAAUUAACCAAGUACAAAAUCCGAAUAGGUUAUGCAACACGUUGGAGCAAGGACCUAGGAUCGAGGAUUUUGGACCUCAAGUUGGAUCCAACAAGUGAUGUUCUUCGAAAAGGAUGCAUACAAAGUCUCCUAAGCAAAACAGACAAUCUGUUUUUGGCCAAGUUGAACGGAAGCAAGCAAAGUAUUUGCGGAUUAUCUCAAGAAGGCUUUCCAGAAUUAAAGCAUCUGCUGGUCAUGUAUGGUUCCUCUAUCCAAUACAUCCUCCAGUGGCGUUCUGUUAGUACUUUUGAGAUGUUGGAGUCAUUAUUUCUCAUAGAGCUCAACAACUUGACAAAGAUAUGCUACAGCCAUAUUUCCUCCUCCAAGUCCUUCGGUAAAUUAAAAGUAAUUCAAGUCAAACGUUGUGACAAGAUGGAAGUUUUGUUUCCUCUUUCAUUACUGAGAGGACUUCCACAAUUAGAAGAGAUUGAAGUUGUCUAUUGCAAGUUAAUGCAUGGGAUUGUAGAUGUUGAUGAUUGUGGCAAGGUGGAGUUGCAAAAUUUGCGUAUAAUGAAAUUGCACCACUUACCAAAUAUCAAGAAUUGUUUCACCGGCGGAUCAACUCUUUCGAGCAAUACAUCAGACGACCAAGUUGGAACUCAAAUUGCAUUCUUCAAUGGGCAACGGGUAAUUUUCUAUCAAAAAAAUAUAAUUUUUAUUACUUUUUCCUACCUUGCUAAUUAGAUGCACAACAUAUCAUGUUGCUUAUUCAUUUUGUUAUUUUUAGUUUACUUCUUUCCUAAUAACCUUAUCCGUUCAUUCCUUCUUUGCAAUUAGAUAAAUCAGUCUUCAGUUUCCCUUCAUUGUGUAGAAAUCCAACUAAUUGUAUGAUAUCCAUGUAAAUUUAGUUUGUGGUAGGUUCUGAGUUAUUUUCAAUUUAAAUGCUACUAGUAUAUCUAUGUUAAUAGGGUUUAUUAAAGAAAAACUAAAGAGAAUUUCGGCACUAAAGUAAUUCCAUAAGUAAUUUUAAAUCUUUUGAUAUGGAUUUGAUUGAAUUUACUUAUCAAACUUUGUUAUUAUUCACAAAAUGGGAAGGAGGACUAGGUUUUUUCUUCUUCUUCUUCUUCUUUUAUAAAUAAAAGCAACUAGGCUAAUGUAAUUGAUGCAUGUCUUCUAUGUAUUGUGUUUAAAUAAGAAGUUAGUCAUUGUAUAGAUCCCAUAAUUAUAAGAGUACAUAGUUUUGUGCAUGUUCAUGCAUGUACAUUGUAUACAUAGAUACCUUAAUACGUACUUUUGGCAUCACAAAAACAAAUUCACAAUUUGUAUUUAAUAUCCUAUUAAAUUGGUUAUUGAUAGUGAUUUGCUAACAUUAAAGAGAAGUUAGUAAAGCAAGGAUGAUCAAUUGCUCAACUAAGAAAAGCACAUGGCUAUUUUACACGGGGAAAAUAUUGCUACGAGUGGGACCUUUUAAUUGACUAGAUAAGAUAGCCCUUUAAUAGUGGCCCAAUUAUCACUGAAGUUGAUCAUUGGCCAUGAGACUCACAAAAUAGAUUAGUUUCCCUGUCAGCAAAAAGCGGUGGAAAUUUAAGUCGUGGGUCCCACACGCUAGUGUGUGACUUCUCUUCUUCCCCUGCUUUGAGCUUCCAUGGAGAGAACGCUUUCAAAGAUAAUGGAACUACAUCAGAAAUUUUUUACAAAAAGCCUUUAUGGCUUUGCUUCUUUUUCUUUUUUACAUCAUAAUCUUGUACAGUAGAUCCUCUUAGUAUAAUCUUUACACCAAGCUUAAAGAAGAUGACAAAUCAUUCAAGCUCAACAAGGGUGAGAAAUUACAAAGUUGAUAAAGUAGUUUUGCACAAAAACAAUUAAUUGCAUUCAAUUGAAAUUGAAGGCGAUUAUUUGUAGUCUAUUCAAUUCUAGACUAGUAGGUGGAAAUAUAGUUAACAGUUAAACUAGCUUUAGUGAUAAUAUUUUAUAGGAGAUCCUUUUCCUAUAAUAUCUACACCAAGUUUAUAGAAGAUGACAAAUCAUGCAAUUUUAAAAAUGGAAGCAAUUACAGGUGAAAAUCUUUUGUUAUUUGUUUUUCAAAGAAAAUGAUGUUAGGCCACUGUAGAUAUAUUUUAUGGUCCUAUUUGCACUUAUACGGAUAAUAAUUUACUAACAUGAAAGAGAAUUAGUAAAUUAAGGAUAAACAAUGCCCUCUAUUAAGGAAAGCUCACGGCUAUAUUAUAUGGGUGAAAACUACCGCAAUUAGGGGGUUUUAUUUGAUUAGAUAAGAUAGCUCCCUUAUAGGAGCGCGGGCCCAAGGCUGGUGCCAUACGCAGUUUCCCUUGUAAGAAAGAGCGAUGGAGAUAUAAGUGGCGGGUCCCACAAGGCUGUGAUGUGAAAGUGUGACCUUUCAUCAACCCUUGCUUUUAAUAGAAACUAGAUCGCGAAAUUUUGCUUUGUAGAUUUGCCUCUUUUUUUUUUUUGGCGGUAUUCUUUGGGGCUUUUAACUUUGUGUGAUUCUAAUUCUUCAAAAAAGAGUUACUGAUGCUUUAGUACUUCUUUUUAUUUUUACUUUUGUGUAAAAUCUAGAUAUGCAAAGAUUCAUGGGUUUAUAAUGAAAUACUUCUUAAAAUUGUAAUAAGUCUCCUCCGACAUUAUAAAGUGGUGGUAGCAUACAAAGUAGUAGUUAAGGUUUGUCAAGAAUAACAAUAGACUAAUGAACGAGACACAAAAGUUAAACUUGUUGUAUAGGUGGGAGUGAGGGGUGAUGGCGAGAUACAUGGGAGUUUGAGAGUAACUUGGCAGAUGAAAGCUUUCUUAGAGUUGUAGCAAUGAACUUUCGGAAAAAAACUAGUUACUCUUUGCAGAAAAAAAAAGGAAAAGAAGAGAAUAAAUAAAGCUUUCCAUUGUCAUGGCGACCAUGGGUCUCUUCACCUUUCAGACAUGUUGAUUAACAAAAUUACAACAACAAGGAUAAUUAAUUAGGAUGGGCCACAUAUGCAUCCGACUUGAAAGGAAUACUCGAGGUAAUUUACAAAUGAUAGGGAAAAAGACGUUCAAAUAAUCUCAAGUUAUUUACUCUUUUUCAAGGAUAGUUGGGAUCUCAACCCAUGGUGAUGACUAAUGACUACUAAGUUGUUGUGAUAACCCAAUUGCUGACGUGUCUAAUUUCAUGUUGUUUGCGGGUAAAUUAGUCCUUUUUUGCCUAAUAAAUUUGGAGAAAUCAAAGACAUUUGAAAAGGAAAAGACAAUAAAAUGCCGUCUUGUUGGAUUUUAUCAAGGAAGCAGGCAAUAACAGUGUGUGAGAAGUCCUCUUGACCUAAAUGAGAAUGAGGUCACAUUCAGCUAUCAACUCCCUGUGUCCGUAGGUCACACUCAUAUACCAUUGCAAUCCCAAGGUUUAAUUUCUGAGUUGGGCUCAUAACUAGAUGAUAUAUAAUAGGCCCAAUCUUACCUGAGACCAAUGGGACAUAAGCGGCAUAUAUCUCCAUCUAAUUGUCAAAUAAUUGAUAUAAUUUGACAAUUAGAAAAAUAUUUCAUGCAGAAAUUGAUUGUUAUUAGUAACCGGAAUGAGAGCGAAUUCUUGAUGAUUGCAAUUCCUGAUAUUGCUAGUAAAAUACAAACAAAAUCCAAUUGUAAUAGUAUCCCUUUUUAUGUCGUAAAGAAAAGGUCAAGUUCAUUAGUUGUCUUUUAAGGUCAUAAAUUAGCUUUUGUUUAUCAUAGAUUUUCAUACGUGUGAAAAUUAUCCUAAAGGCUGUACAUUAUCUUGCUUAUAAAUUUCUUUGGCAACCAUUUAUAAUACCUGCUAUAUACGUAAAUUUCCUAACUGUCUUUUGUAAUUGUAAAUGCUAUGUUGAUGGAUUUGUCUGUUACAUUUCAAUCCCGUCCUUGUGGUCCUUGACAAUGGAAGGACUUCCCAAUCCAAAAGAAAUAUGUUAUCAAACUAAUUGUAUAAAAUCCUUGCAAAUUUAGUUUGUGAUAGGUUCUGAAUUAUCUCAACAUUGCAAGUAUAUUUAUAUUAAUAGGGUUUCAUCAAAACAAAAUGAAGGGAAUUAUUGGUAUUAAAGUAAUUCCAUAAGUAAAGUAAUUUAUAAUCUUUUGAAAUAUGUUCCCUUGAAUUUAGUUAUAAAAAUUUGUUAAUAUCCACAAAAUGUUUAAUAUAGGUGACUCUUAAAAAGCAAUACGAAGAAUGAGAAGGAGGACUGAAUUUUCAAAUAAAAGCAGCUACGCUAAUCUAAUUGAUGCAUGCCUUUUGUGUAUCAUGUUUAAAUAAAGCCCUUAAUCAUUGCAUAGACCCCAUAAUUGUAAGAGUACAGAAUUUUGUGCAUAGUUUUUUUUUUUUUUAUAGUAAAAGUAGGCCUUGGCAAUUGUAUGAUUUUCAUUAUGUCACAACAAACUCGUCAUUUCAAAUUCAGAAUUCUUGUUCUUGGAAUUCCUAAGUGGUAUUCAGAAUUCUUGUUAUUGGAAUUCCUAAGUGAUGUUCACCAUUUCUUUACUCCACACAGCAGAAUUUGAAAUCCCCUGUGGUAAAAGAAAUUAAUGUCUUGCUAAAUAAUUCAUGAGUAAGAUUCACCUUAAAGAUCAUCUUAUUUGGUGAUCACCCUUAGAUACUCCUUUGGUGAGAUUGGGACACAUGAAUAAGGCCGCGUCUGUAACAAUAUCAAAUAAUGGAACUUGAUACCUUAAUGGAAAAUUCAAUAUCGUGAAGUCCAGAAAAUUUUAUAGACUUACUUCAUAAGUUUCAACGGGUCUUGUAUUUCAAUUCAGCUACUUAGUAUGUGUUAGUUUAAUUUCCGAAGCUUCAAGUGUUUGACAUUAUAAUCUUCAAGAAAUUUGUGCCAAAAUUUUAGUUUUUAUUUUUUAUUUUUUUAUUGUUGAGUCCAUCCAACUUAGAUUGUAAAUUUUAUGUGGCUUCAAUAUUUUAUCAAGAAAUGGUUGCCUAGUCUCGUAGGACCAUAUGUGGUUAUUGCGGUUUCUCUUCAUGGCGAUCUACAAAUCUAAAUACCAAGUCCUUUCAACUAAGUGUCUUUGCAUUUGGCCUUUAUAGUAUUAUAGAUAUAAUUGAAUGCACUUUUGGCAUCAUGAACACAAAUUGACAUAUUUAUGUUUGAUAUCCUGUUAAAUUGGUUAUUAAUAAUGAUUUGCUAACAUUAAACUAAGGACAAAAAAUUGCCUGGUUAAGAAAAACGCACGACGAUUUUGUCCAGCAAAUGUUGAGGCGGCUACUUAGUUGACCAGAAAAGAUUGCACCCUCAUAGUGGCGAUUAGCGCUAAAGUUGAUGGCGGGGCCCAAGACUCCUGUGAUGUAUUAAUUUCCCCUCGGUCAGUAAAGGGUGCUGGACAUAUUUGUUGCGGGUCCCGCAAGGCAGUGUGUGUGAGUCUUUACGUAUUUGCUUUUUCUUAAUCGUCGUAGUCUUUAGAGCUUUUGACUUUAGCCAUAGUUCUUGGUGGACACUGGCAAUGGAUAUGAGUUGAACUCUUUUUGGGCCGAAAUUUGAGGUUGAAAGUGUUGUUGGGUUUUGCUUUAUUGUACAUAGAGAGAUGAGCAAUGCUCCACUCGCUUGUCCAUUUCCGAAGGAGAGAUUCUUCGAACGAAAUAAAACUAGCUCACUAAUCAAACUAAGCUCAGCAUUGCAAGUUAUUUAGCGAAGGAAAGAGUGGAAUUAGAAACGGCAUUAAUAUAGAGAUUUUUUUACUCCGUUUUUCUUAUUCUCUUUUUUCUUUUCCUUUGGAGCUACCUUAAUGAUCCCCCUCUCCCCUUGGCACUCGUAUGUAUUUACAUUUUGAAAGUUCAUGAAUUCAAGAUUUAAAUUAAUUGUCAAUUUCGUGAGCAAAUUCUGCAGGUUGCCUUUCAAAGAUUGGAGACAUUAGAAAUCAAUGACUUGGAUAACAUCAAAUUUAUAUUUUUCCCAUCCAUGGUUGAAUCUCUCACACAACUAAAAAAGCUGACCAUAUCGAAUUGCGAGAAGAUGGAGGCGAUCAUUAUGAAGGAAGAAGGGUUGGGAAUGGAAACAUCAGAAAUUUUGACAUUCCCGAUGUUAACCAAUUUAUGCUUAGAACGAUUGAAAAGUUUGACAUGCUUCUCUUGUGGAAAGGGUAGGAUUGAUUUUUUUGUUUUUAUCGCUAAUAAUUGUCUUGUAGAUAUGUUCUUCCCUACAAUACAAAUGGUGAUAUUCUUUUCAUCCAAUGAAAUACCAAUGACAGGUGCACGAGAGAGUCAAAAUCAAGAUCGCGUCAGAUCACGCGCCACUACUCUCUUCAAUCAAGAGGUACAUGAUUGACACUAUGUUAAAAUAUUAAAUAUAUCGGACAUAAGCAUAGCCAAGAUAAAAAUUAAGUUACUUAUAAUGUAUAUUUUGGUUAAAAUAUUUUAACAGAAAACGAGUGUCGUACAAGCUUAAGUGUUCACGGUUAUUGACAUGUAUGAGUUACAACUUCUUACUUUUAAUUUCUCUACAAAUAGUUCCCAUAAAGAUGGUUGAACAUCUCUUAUCGUACCUGCACGAAGCAUGAACAGGUAACACAAUUGCCAAAUAGGAUCUCUAAAUGCGUCUGAUGUUCCCAAAAAACUUAAAAACUCUCAUCAGCCUCACAUGUAAAUUUCCUAACCGUCCUUCAUAAUUGUAAAUGCUCUGUCAAUGGGUUUGUCCGUUAGAACAAAAUCCCAUCCUUGUCCUUGAUAAUGGAAGGACUUCCCAAUCCAAAAGAAAUAUGUCGUCAAGCUAACUGUAUAAAAUCCUUGCAAAUUUAAUUUGUGAUAGGUUCUGAGUUACCUCAAUUUAUUUAGUUUGUGAUAGGUUUUGAGUUAUCUCAAUUUACGCGUCGCAAGUAUAUCUAUAUUUAUGGGGUUUCAUCAAGACAAAUUGAAGGGAAUGUUGGCAUUGAAGUAAUUCCAUAAGUAAUUUAUAAUCUUUUGAAAUGUGUUCCAUUAAAUUUAGUAAUCAAAAUUUGUUAUUAUCCACAAAACGUAUAAUAUGGGUGACUCUCUUAGAAACCAAUACGAAGAAUGGGAAGUAGGACUAAAUUUUCAAAUAAAAGCACCUAUGCCAAUCUAAUUGAUGCAUGCCUUUCGUGUACCAUGUUUAAAUAAGCACUUAAUCAUUGCAUAUGCCCAAUAAUUGUAAGAGUAUAGAAUUUUAUAAGUUUUUUAGCAAAGGGAAGACUGGAAUUAUGGAGAUUUUUUUACUCCGUUUUUUUUAAUUAUUAUUUUCUUUGUUCUUUUCCUUUUGGGCUACUCAAUAAUCCCCCUCUCCCCUUGGCACUCACCUGUAUUUACAUCUUGAAAGUUCAUGAAUUUGAGAUUUAAAUUAACUACCGAUUCCGUGAGUGAAUUCUGCAGGUUGCCUUUCAAAGAUUGGAGACAUUAGAAAUUAGUGACUUGGAUAACAUUGGGUUUAUAUUUUUCCCAUCCAUGAUUGAAUCCCUCACACAACUAAAAAAGCUGACUGUAUCGAAUUGCAAGAAGAUGGAGGCGAUCAUUAUGGAGGAAGAAGGGUUGGGAAUGGAAACAUCAGAAUUUUUGGCAUUCCAGAUGCUAAUUGAUUUACGCUUAAAACAAUUGAACAGCUUGACAUGCUUCUCUCGUGGAAAGUGUAAGAUUGAUUUUUCAUUUUUAUUGCUAAAAAUUGUCUUGUAGAUAUAUUCAUCCCUAUAGUACAAAUGGUGGUAAUGACAGGUGUACGAGAAAGUCAAAGUCAGGAUUGCAUUAGAUCACAUGCCACAACACUAUUCAAUCAAGAGGUAUGUAAUUAACAUUAAUCAAAUUAUUAAACAUACCGGAGACAAGCAUAGCCAAGAUAAAAACUAAGUAAGUCAUUUAUUAUAUAUAUUUUGGUUAAAAAAUUUAACGGAUGAUGAGUGGUGUACAAGCAUAAUUGUUCAGAGUUGCCGAUAUGUAUGAUUUGCAAUUUCUCGCUAUUAAUUUCUCUAGAAAUAAUUUCCAUAAAGAUGGUUGAACAUCUCUUAUGGUAUAUACACAAAGCAUGAAUGAGUAAUACAAUUGCCAAAUAGGAUCUCUAAAAGCUUUCCGAUAUUACCAGUAACUUAAAACUCUCAACAACCUCACUUGUAUGGCUUAGACAUUGCAUGCAUGUACAUUGAAAGCAGUUGACAAAACAAUCGAGAGGAAAGUGAGCUAUAAGUUUCAAGAGGCUGGAGAUGAAGGGCCUUUUAAGACACUCACUUGACUUCAUUUGCACUAACAAGAUCUUCUUCUUUUUUCCUAGUUAAAGGAAGCUUUACUCUCUCUUAAUUGCAUUAGCAAAGGGAAUCGAAGCCUUCUCCGUCGCCAAACUGAGCGAGACCUCUCGGGUCUUGGGCUUCAGAUAUCACCCCUCUUAUUUUUUCCAUGAAUGGCAAGACCAUUAUUAUGGAACUUUUAUUAAAGAAAUAAAAUACAUUUUGCAAAAGCAACCAUUUUUGUUGAGUCAUUUGAAUUGUCGAGCGCAUAGCGAAAAAUGUUCCUGUGGAGAAUGAAAUAGAGCAAUGUACAGACCAGUUGACUUUGACUAAACUAAAAGCAAUAUAGGCCGUUCACCUAAAAUGUUGUCUAUGCAGCCAAAAUAGGCUGUACAAAUGGGCCCUCCCAUGGGAUUAAUACGUUGACCUUCUUAGAUAUUUUUAAUAUAUUAUAAUGAGAUAUUUAACACCAUUUUCUAUAAUUUGACUCCAGUUUAUGUAUAUGAUCUAUCGUUUGCAUAUAACUAUUAGACCUUCUAGCAUUAAUAGAAAAUCAAUUUUAAAGGAAAAUUCAAUUGAUUUAAGUAUAUAGCAGUUUGAAGUGUGGAAUGAUGUGAGUAGGAUUUGUUCAUUUGACCCAAGCGAUUCCUAUUUUAAUUGCUUUCUCGUAGCCUAACUAUGUAAUUGCUUUAUAGUGAUCUAAUAUUGAUUAGUGGCAUUCGGUAUUAGAUAAAAUCAUAUCUCUUACUGUAGUGCACCAUUUGAUGGUUGAUCUAUCACCUUUUUAAUUUCAAUCUCUCCAUCAUUUUCUUUCUAAUGCCUAAUGUUCUUCCUCAAGCGAUCCCUCAACUGCAUUCUCUAACGGUGAUUACCCAAUUGACUUGCUUUUUGUUUCUUUAACUAAAUUCUUCCUCAUACUUAAUUAAUUUACGAAAUGGUGCAGAUUCAUUGAAGAAUUUCAUCCAUAUUGUAACUAAUGUCAUUAGGUUAUUGUUAUAUGAGCGUAUUCAAAUUACCAUUUUGCCCAUAUUUAACACAUUCUGGUUAGAAUCCCUACAUAGAACUUUUUGUUUUGUCUCCGGUACAUUUCAAUAGCCUUCCCAUUCUAGAGUCAUCGACAUUGGUAUGGAGAUUUUUUUUUUUUUUUACUAUUUUCAUUUUAUUCUUUUUCUCUUUUGUGCAACUUAAGAUAGAAUUACCAAUUCCGUAAAUUUGUAAUUUACAUCUUGGCACUCUUCUUAUUUACAAUUUGAAAGUUCAUGAAUUUGUAAUUUAACUAAAUCACCAAUGCUGUGAAUACUGCAGGUUGUGUUUCCUAACUUGGAGAAAUUAUUUAUCGAGGGCAUGGAUAAAAUCGAGACAAUAUGGGAUGAUCAAAUUCCUACGAAUUCUUUCUCUAAGCUAAGAUUGCUUUCAAUGAAUGAAUGCAAAAAGCUUGUGCACGUUGUACCUUCUUUCAUUUUAGGACAGCUCUUGAGCCUGGAAAUUUUGAAGGCAAAAGCAUGUGCUUCCCUUGAAGUUAUUUUUAAACUCCAGCCACUAACUCCUCUAGAUGGAAAUAGUGUUGCUCGUUCUCCAUUAAAAGAGCUGAAGUUAAAUGAAUUAUCAAAGCUAAACUGUGUAUGGGAUAAGGAACUCUACCAUCAUAUUAAAUUCCAGUGCCUACGUUUGGUUACCCUUCAGGGAUGCACUAGGCUCACCUCUUUGUUUUCAGCCUCAAUAGCCAGAGAUCUAAUCCAACUUGGGAAUUUGGAGAUCAAUCAAUGCGGCAUUGUGGAACUCAUUGAGAAGGAAGGACCCGAUGAGUUGAGCAUCAAUGUGGAAGCCAUAGAAGGCCCAAGUCAUGGGCUAAAAGUAGCAUCAUCCUUUCCAAGUUAUUUUCAGCAUUUGAAGACUCUAGAUGUGUCAUGUUGUCAUGGGUUGUCAAAUAUGUUCACACCGACAAUGGCUAUGAAUUUGGUGGAACUCACAAGAUUGAGAAUUAGUAGAUGUGAAAUAUUAACAGAAGUCAUUAGUGAUGAGGAAGGUGGGGAGGGGCAUGUGGUGGCUUUCAAUCAAUUGAAGUAUAUGGAGCUUGAUGAGUUGACUAGGUUGAGAUAUUUUAGCUCAGGUGGAUACACUUUGACGUUCCCUCUCUUAGAAGAUAUCAUUGUGAAUAGAUGUCCUGACAUGAAGUUCUUCUUCGAGGGACCAAUGGAGGCCCCAAAGCUAGAGAGAGUACAAGUACGUUUGAAUGCAAGGUAUGAAGCAAUAAAGUACCAAUAUUUUUGGAAGGGAAACCUCAACAUGACCAUCCAAAAUAUGUUUGAAGAAAUGGUAUGCUUCAGUUGCUAAAUUCUAUGCAAUUUGAUUUUUUUUAUUAUGACCAAUAAAGUAAUUGUUUUAUUUAUUUAUUUAUAUGAUAACUAGAAUUUUAUGUUUAAUGAUGCAUCUUCUUAUAGGCUACAUUUGCUGGGAGUAAGUUUAUGCGGUUGUUGGACUUCCCGAAGCUGAUAGUAAAAUGGCACAAUGAACCUAAUCCCAUCACAUCAUCUUGGCAACCAAAAUCGCUAGUGGUGGAUAAAUGUCCAUCAUUUAUUAAUGCUAUUCCAUCUAGUUUGAUGCUUGUUUUAGACAAAUUGAGCUUUUUGCAAGUCCGUGAUUGUGAGUUGCUUGAAGAAAUAUUUGAUUUGGAAGGUUUGGAGGCUAUGGAGAGCACUAGAGUACUACCUCAGCUACAAGAAUUGAACUUGGCCAAUCUACCAAAAUUGAGGCGACUAUGGAACAAAGAUCUUCAACAAUCGAUAUGCUUCAAUUCUCUAGGUAGUCUCAUCCUUUAUAAUUGCAACAACUUGGGACAUGCUUUCGCUCCAUCGAUGGCUCGGUGCCUUGCCAAUCUUCAAAAUAUAAAAAUAAAGGAGUGUGGUCAGAUGGAGGGAGUGAUCGCAGAGGAAGAGGGGCAAGGAAGUGUAGUGGAGAAUAUUACAUUCCUAAACCUUUUGCGGAUGGAACUGAAAUGCUUGCCCAAUUUGACUUGUUUCCUAUUGGGAAAAAAUCAUAAGCUGGAAUGCCCCAAAUUACAAACGUUGAGCAUUGCCUAUUGCCCUAAGAUGAGAACUCUGAUUGGGCAGUCUUGGAUGGAGAAUGACCACAACGCCCUUUCACUUUUCACUCCCCAGGUCAGUCUUUCAAACAAAUGCAUUUUUGGCAUUUCAUUUGGAACAUAUUCUCAUAGUAUUGGACAAUGCACGGUACAAUGCAAAUUUUUUUCUUUGCGCGGGUUUAUGUACAUAAUCUUCUAAUAUUUAAUACGAAAACUAAAAAUAUUCUAAUCCUCAAUAAAUAUUACUAUUAUAUGUACAUCUCUAUAUCCUAUUAGAAGCGUUAAGUUGGUGUAAGUUCAUGCAAUCAUAUCAUGCGCAGUACUUUAGAAUUAGUUAGUGAGGUUCCUAAAAAAAGUUAUCACAAUAAAAAAAAUUAUUUUCUGCAACUUCAAUUAUAAUGAACUAAAUAGCAAAAAUAGAAUAACAUCUAAAAAUGGCAAAAAAAUAUGAAGUAUCGCCCACUUCAGAUUUUCUUGCACAGAAGCAAAUUGGCGUCAUUCUAUUAAAAAAUGAAGAAAAUGGGAAAAAGAAAACUUCAUAAUUAUAAAGCCUAGUUCACAAAUUGCUUAGCUAUUAUGAGCAUAAUCAUCUCCCCAAUCAAUGAAAUUGGAGGAAUUAGAGAGAAGUGCUCUUUCAAUUGGAGUGCUCUAAACUUCGAUAAUGAUCAGUUAGUCAACUUUUUUAUAUAUUAAUAAUCACCAAUGCUUGCACUGGGUUUUGAUUAUAAAAUAAAUAAAAAUGGAAAGGCCAAUAUGCAUGAAGUCAUUUGUCUUUUUUGUUCGUAAAUCAUACUCAAUCGCUGUACUCCAACAACCUAUCAUAUUACGUACGUGUAUUAUACAAUAAAUAUUAACUCUAAACUAUCAUAUUGAGUGAUAAUUAGUAUGAUAUUGCACACAAUCUAUGUUUAACAAGAGAAAAUACAGAUUACCUUUUUCAGAAAAAGAAAUGGCGAAAAAAAGGAAAAAAUAAAAGAGACAAAAGGAUAGCUGGAUAAUAAAUAGUAGCAAUUCUUUGGCGGUUGCCAACAUUGCAAGUCUUAUUUCGUAACUAGAUGACAAUAUUUAGUCAAUGUCCUGACUAAAAUAAAAUUAAAAAUCGGAAUAAAUUAUCCAACCAACGCCACCACAGAAGGGAAAAUAUUAGGAUUCGUAUUGAAUCAUCCGCAGAUUGACACGUGGCAACGCCGGACCCACUGCUCUCCUCUUCCUGUUAUGGCUCUGCUCCCUCACUCUCUUUCCUCAGCGAAGGUGCAUCUAUACGUGAACCACACCACCGCCUUGGCCUCCAUCAGUUGCGGUGAAAAUAGAAAAAGGAAGAAAUUAGAUCAAGUCUAUUGGGUGUUUUAGACUUUUCCCCCCUUAAGAAUUGUUCUCUCUCAGCCAUUUCGGUUCACCUUGAUCCUCCUUUUCGCAACGAGGAAAAAAAAAAGUUGAACCAAAUCUACACAGUCAAAGUAACAAUAACUCUUCUUUCUUCCCCUCGCCCCCCUUCCUCUACUUUCUUUUUUUGGGGCGAUUGAUUGGGUGGUCCGUCCAAUGGUUGAAUCGGAAGCUUCGGAAUCGCUUCUCUGAAACUCCCCUCCUCUCUGUGCGCGUGCUUCCAUGGGUUCCGAGUGAUUACGCGAACCGGAGCUUGUUGGUUAUGGUGGGUCGAAGUGGGUCUCCGAAGCGGAAGCGAUUUCGGCGAUGAUUCGGUCGGGGCGUUGAUUCUGGCGAAGAAAAAUUAAAAAAAUCUUCUCUUCAGCCCUCUCUUCCUCCUCCUUCGUCCCACAGCCGCCCGACCUCCGCCCCUCCUCCCCUAUCGCCAACGGCGGAGUCACCGGUGCCUUGAUUAGGCUGACCCCCGCUAUGUCCAAGCCGCGUAUGGCCGGCUUCCUCUGUUUUGUCCGUCUCAUCAUUCUACAGAUCUCGAAAUCUGGCCGUCCAUAGCGACGGAGUUGCAGAUCUGGAAGUUGACCACCGCCGCUCGCAGCCAUGGACGAGCCGCUGUUGCUAGAAACAUGGUUGCAGAUCUAGAAGUCCCGUCGCGAGCAACGACGGCUUAUGGACUGCCAUUGUCCCCUCCGUCGUCGCCCGCGAUUGGCUCGUGGUCGUCGCCCGUCCAGAUCUGGGCUGGAGUCGUGCCUCCAGAUCUUGCAGAUCUAGAAGUCCCGUCGCGAGCAACGACGGCUUAUGGACUGCCAUUGUCCCCUCCGUCGUCGCCCGCGAUUGGCUCGUGGUCGUCGCCCGUCCAGAUCUGGGCUGGAGUCGUGCCUCCAGAUCUAGUAUCGUCCAUGGACGCAAGCCUAGCUCGUCCAUGGCUCGCCAGGAGGCUCCUCCACAGAUCUGGCGACCGCAGCUUGUCCAUGGCCAUGAGUCUUGACGGCGAGUUUGAGAUCCCUUCGUCCAUGGACUGCGAGGUCAAACGGCGAAAGAGAGAACAGAGAAAUAGAUGUCAGGGAAGAGCGGCCAUGGACGAGAGGCGUCAUGAAUGAGUAGACCACAGAGACGAUGUAGAGGGUUGGACGCUCGGCAAUGGUCGCCUUGGACGCGACGCCGGCAACUCCGCCGGUGGCGAUGGCUGGGGGACGCGGGAAGGUUGGGCUCAAUGUGGCUGGAGAUGGAGGAGAAAGCGUAGAUGGAGAAGGAAAGUGAGGGGAAUUGAGAUUUUUUAUAUUGAGUCAUCUGACCAAAAAACAGUCAAUAUUUAGUUAAUGUUGUAGCUACAUAAAAAAAUUAAAAAAAAAAUGGACUCAAUCAUCCAGUCAACACUUCCUUUCCGUCUCAUGAAGUUCUCCUCAUGUGAAGACUAAACGCAGUAAAUGACGACCUCCUCCGGCACUUCUUUUUUUGGGUCGAAACUGAGGCACUUGAAAAUGCGCGAUAUCAUUUUUUUAUUACAGAUUCUAUACAAGUUUUUUUUUUCCCCUAACACACGAAAUCCUUUUUUUUUCCUUAUUCUAAUACUUUUGCGCAAUUCUUUCUAUCGUUUUAUACUAGUAGAAUAGAAUGUUUAAUUAUAACAAGUAUCUACACAUCUGUUUACUUUUUAAUUGUAAGAAUUAUCACUAAUUAUUUAUUUAUAAUGCCAUUUGCAUGGAUAAGUUAUUAUAUAAUACCUAGCCCCACAUUCUAAGAAUAUUUCAAAAAGUCAUUAUAACACUCAAUCAACGAUACUAAUAAAUUUGGGGAAGUAUGAAAAUAGUCACCUGAUCUUUUGGUAGUGACAAGUUGUGAUAGAAUUGUUUUCAUUUUAGUGUCAAAUAUGAGCUGUCAUAUAAUAAUUGAUUUCUCCCACAUUAUUAGAUAAUUUAAAAAACUCAUAAAAAUCCUCAAUUAAGAAUAUUGAUAGAUUUAAGGAAGUGUGGAAAGUCUUUUUUUUUUUUUUUUGUGACAAGUCGUAAUUGCAUUAAAUAUAUUUUAACCAAAUGAAAAAUAUCAAUACUUACUUUUAAAUGGACAAUUCGUCGAGGUCAUGAUGUAGCAAAAAGAAAAAAAGAAAAAAAAGCACUCUUGAUUUUCUCCAUACAAACAAAAUGCAAUCAGUGGGUGCACACCCACUUUUUGCCAAAGGGUGGACCACUCGUACGCCACAAGAUUCUAUUUUUUUUUUUCACCUCAAAUUUGAAUAAAAUAUUAUUUCAAGGAUGUUAUUAAAGGUCCAAUGUAAAACUAGUAAAUUGUCCCAACUUGCUUUUGCUGAGAUCAUAACAUUAUGUUAUUUAUUCAAGUCGUUAUGUUGCCCAUGCCUAUUAAGAAAUUAUUUUCUUUUAGUACAAAAUUUUUCCAUGCAUAAAAAAGAAAAAGGUUGUGAACAAUUGAAGUUACUAUAUUUAUUUUUUUAUAUCCGGUUCGCCAUAUCCUUGACCUUAGCCAUCAGUCAACUUGUAUAAAAGCAUCAAUCAACCUCUCCCUAUUUAUGUCCCCAACAAAAUCUUGAGUUCUCAUGAUUUGUGAGAACAAGGGAAGUCUGGAAAUUCCUUCUUUAAGGUCAUAACUCAAUGUAAUCACAUUCAUUGUGUCAUUUUUUUUCUCACUAUGGCAGGUACAAUUUCCUGAACUUAGGUCGAUGGAUCUCUCCCACAUGAACAAUUUAAGCAAAAUAUGGACUGACACUCCUCAAGAAACUCUUACUUUUGAUUGUCUAAGGAAAGUGGAGGUUCGGAAUUGUAAGGGCCUUGAAAAUUUGUUUCCGUAUUGGGUGGCUACAAGUUUAACCCACCUUGAAAAACUUCAAGUGGAGUCUUGUGAGAUCGAGGAAAUAGUCGCUAAUGGGGGUGACACUCCAAGCUCCAAUACUACUCAAGAUCUUUUCCCAGUACUAACCUCUUUGGUGUUACGUGACAUGCCACGACUCAAGAGUUUCUAUCCUAACUUGCCCACUUUGCAUUGGCCAUUAUUGGAGGAAUUACGAGUGAUUCACUGUGACAAACUGAACAUGUUAUCCUUUACGGCAUCCAUGAACAGUUGGGCUCAAAAAUAUGAUCAACAAGACCUUUCAAAUCAAGAAGCACACUCUUCAUUCGAGAGGGUAUGAUUGUAGCUACUCUCCAUUAGUUUCUACUUUGUUCUUUAAAGCAGUCAUUAAUAUCAUAUCCAUUGCAUAUCAUGUCGCGUUAUAAUGUUAUAGAAAACAUGAUCUCCCUUACUUAUUAGUUUGUCGACAACAUUAAGAUAUUUCUAAUAUCUUAAGUAUACUUUCAUUUGUGGACAUGCAUAAGAUAUUCCAUUACCUAGAGUUACAAAAAUAUUUAUAGUAUUCUAUUGACAACAGAAUAUAUUCCUAAUCUAACUGAAUGGUGCUCCUUGGUGACAUCAAUAAGAAUUUGACAAGAGGUCCUCUCAAUUAUUGACAUGUGUCGCACAUUUGAACUUUUCUUCUCUAUUUCAUCUUCUACAAACUCUAAAAAAACAC
rnacentral:lncRNA from 1 species